UUGGGGCAUUGGUCUUUGCAGCGUUAAUGCUUUUUGCUGGUUGGUUUCAUUAUCAUAAAGCGGCGCCAAAAUUGGCUUGGUUUCAAGAUGUAGAAUCUAUGCUGAAUCACCAUUUGGCAGGGCUACUAGGACUUGGGUCUCUCUCUUGGGCGGGGCAUCAAGUACAUGUAUCUUUACCGAUUAACCAAUUUCUAACCGAAUAUUCAGGUAUCAAAUUUGGUUUAUUUUACAUUGCUUCAUAUCUGAAUCUACUAGUUUCUUCAUUAUUUGUAACAGUUCUUUAUUUGGGAGGUUGGAAUCUUUCUAUUCCGUACAUAUUUGUUCCUGAGCUAUUUGGCAUAAAUAAAAGGGGUAAAGUCUUUGGAACACUAAUUGGUCUUAAAGUCUAUACNNNNNNNNNNNNCACCCCAAUUCAUACGACAAUGGAAGAUCCUUAGACAUAAUAGCCCUCAUUACAGGAACAAGGGAUAUGGAACUAACUAAGGAUCUUAACAUGUGAGAGGAGACAGGAAAAAAGUCCUUAGUCACUCCGCGUACGAAGAACCGCUUAGCAAACUCCAAAGCACCAACUGACGAUACUAACGAUUUCUCUAACGAAAAUGGAACAUUCAGUGGCGAAAUUAGCUCGCGAUAACGCUCAGCCACCCGCCCUAUAUUAUGUCUAUUUUUGUUUAUUCACGAAAUUUAUAUAAAUUUCCCUUUAUCAAUACCACUUUUAUUUGAAUCCCAGAUUUCCUAUGAUUGAUACCCUUUACUGAUUUCAUGUGAUGAUAUUCUGUGUUGAUUUCCGAAUUCUAAAUUAUCUUCUUGCCUUAUUAUGUAGUUGAGUACAUUAUUUACUGAUUCAUAAUAUUGUUUCCUUAAUUAGGACUUUCUGAACCUAGCCCUAAUUACCUGUUCUAUACUUGCAUUGUUUGAAGUCUUUACUUAUUUGUUAUACUCCAGCUAUAUAUGAUUUUUUUCCUUACUUGUCAUCUGCUCUUUACAGUUUGAAUAAUUCCCUUAAUUAAGGGAAGACUUGGACUAAUUUUACUCUGAGUUCUAUAAUUACUGAACAAUUUUGAUUCUUAACUUAUUUACCUAGCUUUCAAACUACUAUAUAUAUUGCUCUCUUCUACAGUCUUACAGACAUAUGAACUCACAUUAGUUCACAUCUCUCAUACACUCAAAAGCUUUUCUGCUUUCUUUUGUUACUUACUAUUGUUACUAAAUUAGUCUGCUGCAAGCCAAGGCUAAUUAUUACACUCUCAUGUUUUUCACCUUGUGUUUACUCUCUUUACUGGUAUGUUCUGAUUUUAAAUUCAAGCUCUCAAACCAAUAUGUUUCCUACUGCUUUAGUUUAUCAUAUUCCUAAUCUGUUUCUAUCUAUUGUUUUGUUGUUCAACAUGUAAUUGACCUAUUGCUCCACUUAGCUUGUUAGUUAUGUCCUACCCCUUUCUAAGAUCAGCAUGGCUUACGAACUUGUAGUCUGUCUAAAAUUAACUCUACCCUGUUUUUGAAUGUUUGUUUACUUGCUAUUUAGUCUCUAGUAUGAACCUUUCUUUGCAAAGCAAUUUUUGUUACUCUAAGUUGUCCGAUUCUAUGUUGGUUCUGAAAUUUUUACUGUAUUGUAUCAUUAGUUAUCCCCCAUCCGAUGAACCCCCUAAAUCACCUCUGAUUCUAUAGCUAUAUUUAGCACCCCUGAAUCCGUGUCUUACUAUUUGCACUAUUAGCUACCCCCUUAAUUGCAAAGACUUCUGUUUACGUCUAUUAUGUGUUCCCAGCCCCAAUUACCCCAGUGUGAAGGGUUGUUAUUUGAGUGUUGCUAAACCUAUUUUGGCUCUAUGUUUGAUCUGAUGUUUGUGUGAUUACACAACUCUUGUCAAAAAUUGUUUUACUGAACAAUUCUCCUAUUUUAUAAAACUACUUCAACUGAGUCUUUUUCAAAUACUACUUUCCUAUUAAAACCUUUUCAAAACUAUGUCAAGCACUCUCACUCUACUCUUAGGUCCUUAAGUUCUGCCCCUCCGGUGUGUGACUGCCUUGGGAUCCCUGUGAGAUCCCUCUAAACUAUGAUGCACUGGAGCUGGCUCUUCCAUACUGCACUUACUCAAUUAUGGUUAUGAAGUCUGGGUAUGAGCACUGCCCGGGGUCCUUUGGGUCCUUAGGGAGCUCUAAUACACCCGUACAUAAUAAAGGCUAUGAAACUUUGGCAUAUGAGGCUAUGGACAGUUUGGUAUAUUUGGGCCUGCUUCAGGCUCCCUAUAGUGUAACUUCUUCUUUUUCUUUAUCUAUUUAUGUAAUUUAUUCAGCUGGUCUGUAAUAAUUAUUUGUAAACGAAUAUUGGGGAUGACUAGUGAAAUGGGGAGGGUAGUUAUAUAUUUCUAUCAAUAUCAUUGGGGUAGAAAGCAUGUUAUAGGCUUUACCUUAUUUAUGCUUGCCAUAGAAUCCUUUCUUUAGGACCAAUACAUUGAAAUUGUGUCAUGCACUAGAUAUUAUGCUCUUAGGUUUCACGUAUACUGCUUCAGCAUCUCAUUUGACACUAAUACAUGUUUAUCACUUAGAAAUCCUUCUCCUAGGUUAAUAAACAACAUUAACAUAAAAGUUGUUACUCAUGCACAUCCUGAGAUCAUGUCUUGACAAUUCUCUAACUCUUUUUGUGCAUUUAGAGAUCAUGCUUUAGGAAUUCUGUUAAUUUAAAGAUUAUUGUCAUAAAAACUGUUGUUUCUGUGCAUUUAGAAAUCAUGUAUUAGGCACUCUGUUUGUAUUUGCUUAGCCACGCCUAGUUAAACUACUGAUUAUGAAAGGAUGUAAAAAUAGUCUCGCAUAUGAUCUUCUUGUUUCAAAUAAAACUUGUAACAAUCCAUGUAUUCUCAGCAUACUUUAGGUAAGAAACAACUCUUGAACUGUUAAUGAUUCUGUAACUAUUAUGCAUGAUCCCACGCCUAGGCAAGCCUUAGGUAAUCAAUCUGUGUAAAACUGGAGAACUGUUUUCGUUUGUGUUUAGUGCUUAACGACUUACGAGUUUAAAAUCAGAAGGCAAACUGAUUAGGACCUUACUGUCGAGUUUAUAAAAAACAAAGUUGCAUAUUUUUGUGCAUUGACAUCCAUUUAGAUAUCCUGUUUAGGUCUUUUCUCUAAUAAAAAAUGCUCUUGUUUAUGUUUGAGACAUGCUGCUUAUGUGCAUUAGUUGUGGAGGUAAACUUGGGCCUCUUGACUGCUUCUUUCUGCAUUUAUCUGUUAAGUCCUAUGUGUUCUUUCCUGUCACCUAGAAUUUUCUCCUUUUAAAAUAACUUAGGGGUUGUCUAGAACUUCCCAGACUUAGAGGUCCUAAACUCCCCUGGGACCAUAAGGAAGGGAUGGUAGCAGCAUGCAUAGAGUUCAUUAAAUAAAAACUCGUUUGAUAACCACUAAGGGGUGGAGUAAUUGGUAGAAAAAGGAUAUGAUGAUUACGUGCUAAUGUCACGUGUAGCCCCUCAUUGAGGAGUGUUUACCGGGCAUUGCGUGGGGUGAUCCAGUAAGCUAACCAACCUAGGACCCCUCCUUCUCCAAAAUUUCCUUUGCUUAAACUUUACUUUUCUAUAUGUACACAGUUUAUUCAAGUCUUUCCUUUUUCUCAUUAUUUGAGUCAUGUAAUGUCCAAAACCUGCUCUUAUUUGUAAUUAUGUGUUUAAACUAUUUAUUUGUUAAAGGACUAGUUCAUAAGUAUAAAUUCAGCUGGGACCCACCAUUGUGGACCGAGAGGGGUGCCUAACACCUUCCCCUCAAGGUUAUUUUGAGCCCUUACCCUAAAUCUCUGGUAAUGCAAACCAAUCUAAGAGUUAAUCAAUCUAGGUGUCCUAACACACCAUAAUCCGUUAGGUGGCGACUCUUUAAAACCCAAAUUCCCAAAAUGAAAAUGAGUUAUUACCCCCCAUGAAUGUUGGAACCCGGACUUUCUCCGUGGAGGAAAAAAGGUGGCGCAACACUUGCAUGCCCAAGAAAGCUCCUCACUCCUUUUACGAAAGUAGGAGGAUGGAGUUUUGAAAUCACUUCAAUCUUCGCUUUGUCCAUUUCGAUACCAUUCUUUAAGAUCUUAUGGCCGAGGACAAUGCCCUCCUCGACCAUAAAGUGGCACUUUUCCCUAUGAAGCACUAGAUUUGUCUCCUCACAUUAGGCCAAUACUUUGUCAAGAUUACCCAAAUAUUCUUCAAAAGAGUCACCCACAACACUGAAAUCAUCCAUGAACACUUCCAAGAAGUCCUCCACCAUGUUAGUAAAUAUAGCCAUCAUACACCGCUGAAAGGUAGCCCCAUGCAUUACACAAACCAAAUGGCAUCCUGGAAAAUGUAAAGGUACCAUACGGACAUGUGAAAAUGGUUUUCUCCUGGUCCUCUAGUGCAAUCAUAAUCUAGUUGUAACCUGAGUACCCAUCUAGAAAGCAAUCAUAGGAACGCCCAGCAAGUCUAUCCAGCAUUGGGUCAAGAAAAGGCAAUGGAAAAUGAAUUUUGUGGGUCACUUUGUUUAGCUUCUGGUAGUCCAUGCAUACCCUCCAUCCGGUGACAGUCCUAGUGAGGAUCAACUCAUUUUGCUCAUUUGUGACCACAAUCAUGCCCCAUUUUUCGGCACACAUUGGACCGGUGAAGUCCAUGAACUAUCCGAGAUAGGAUACACGACCCUUGCAUUUAGCCACUUGAUAACUUCCUUCUUGACAACCUCUUGCAUAGCCUCGUUCAACCUCCUUUGAUAUUCCACGGAGGGUUUGGCAUCUUCCUCAAGUAUAAUCUUGUGCAUGCAAAAGGUGGGGCUUAUCCCUGAAUAUCAGGUAGAGUCCAUCCAAUUUCCCUCUUCCUUCUUUGAAGCACCUCAAGGGUGGCAUCUACCUGCACAUUAGUAAGGCAAGAAGAAAGAAUAAUAGUAAAGUUGAACAAGGUCCCAAUAAUUCAUACCUGAGGUGUGAAGGUAAAGGCUUCAACUCCAAUAUGGGAGGUUCCUCAAUUGAGGGCUUUGUUGGUGGAGUUUUUCUGUUCUCAAGAUCCAAGGAGAGUUUAUGGGGCUCAUAGGAGUAAGAACCCAUUCUGUGCAAGGCAUUGACACAAUCUAUCAAGCCUUCAUCCUCGGUCGCAUCAUGGUUCAACAGUACUGCUUCCAAAGGAUCCUCCACAUGGCACUUGUGUCAUCAACAAUCACCUCCAUCACCAGAUCCAUAAAAGAACAAACCUCAGUACUAUUCGGCUGCCGUAUUGAUUUGCACACGUGGAAGACAACUUUUUCGUCACCCACCCGGAAUGCGAGCUCCCCUGCUUCCACAUCAACCAGUGCCUUCCCUAUUGCAAGGAAAGGUCUUCCCAAUAUUAUCGGCACCUCAUAGUCGACUUCGCAGUCCAGAAUCACAAAAUCAGCAGGCAAAUAAACUUGUCCACCCGAACAAGAACAUCAUCAAUAAUACCAAGCGGCCUCUUCUUUGUUCUAUUGGCCAUUUGCAAUCUCAUUGAAGUAGCUCUCGGUUGACCAAUACCCAAAGUUUUGAAUAUGUAAUAAGGCAUCAAAUUUAUACUAGCUCCCAAAUCACACAAUGCCUUUGCAAAAUCCGCACUCCCAAUGGUACAUAGAAUGGUAAAUGCGCGGGGAUCUUCAAGCUUUGGAUCCACCAAGUGCACAAUAGCACUCACUUGAUGAGUCAUUUUGAUGAUCUCACAAUCCAUAGAUCUCUUUUUAGUUACCAAGUCUUUCAUAAACUUGGCGUAUACCGGCAUUUGCUCGAGAGCUUCCACGGGCACAUUGAUUGACAAACUUUUCAUCAUCUCAAUAAACUUCUUGAACUGGUUUUCACUUUUUUGCUUUGCAAGUCUUUGAGGGUAAGGUGGAAUAGGCCUUGGCAAAGGAGCCUUGGCUUUAGGCAUCACCGUUUCCGGCAUGUCUAUCACGUGUUCCCUAGACGGGUUCACAUCAUUUUGAGGCUCUCCCUCAAUAUCCUAAAUAUCAAUUCUUACCUCACCAUCCAACUUCUCUUCACUCACUUGUUCAACAACUAUAGGAUCAUCAUCAUUUUGCACUUCAACCUCAUCACACAUAACUCCCUUUUGCUUAGAGGUACUUGUUUUACCAUAUCUACCGCUCCUAGUGGUCACGCCAUUGCAUGGUUGGUAUUUUCCCACCCUUCGAGUUUACUACCGUGUCACUAGGUAGUGAUUCCUUAGGGUGAGGGUUCAAAGAUUGCAGAAUCUAGCCAAGUUGAACCUCUAGAUUGUGAAUAGAAGUAUUAUGGGGCGGAAAUUGGGCAUCAGAGUCGACUCUCUUUUUCAUCAUUUGCUCAAACAUCGACUCAAUCCUUCCCAUCUCAUUUUUUGACGAGCUAGGUCCUUGGGAUGGAAAUGGAGGUGUAUUAUUUAGCUGUUGAAACAUUGGAGGCCUUUGACAAUCCGGCCCCCGAUUACCUUGAUUACCAUUAUUCCAACCUCAUUGGUUGUUGUUGCCACCCCAAUUGUUGUUGUUGCCCCAGUUCUGAUUGUUGUUCCCCCAAUUGAUGAAAUUGUUGUUGUUAUUGUUCCAAUUUUCUUGUCCUUGGUUACCACAAUUCUGAUUAUUCCCUUACAAUCUCCAUUGUUGAUUUGGAGCAUUACCAUAUUGUCCUUGAUAGUUAUUGGCAUACAAAGCCUCUUCCCUUUGCUCAUAGUACCCAUCAUCCUGGUUGUAACCACUAUCACCUUGAUCAAACUGAUCUUGAUUUCUUUGCACUUGUUGACCAGACUGUCUCCUCUUGUUCACCAAUAGAUUAACUCUUUUUCUAUUAUGUUUACUUGCUUUGGUCCCUGAAUCUGUUGAAGUUGUGCUUUGGCUAACUGGUUCAUGGUUGUUGUCAACUUAGCUAUGGCUUGUCCGUGGUCCUGAAGUUCCUUGUGAAGAUUUAUGACAUAAGGAUCCCCCUGAGGAACAUUCGCCCGGCUAUGCUAGGCUGAUGAAGUGAUAGCCAUCUCAUAAAAAAUCUCGCAGGCCUCAGCAUAAGAGGGCUUCAUGAAAUUACCCCUUGCUAAUUUGUUUACCACACAUUGAUUGGUCAUGUUUAUACCCUGAUAAAACGUCGGUUGGAUUAUUGCUUCGGUCAUAUCAUAUUGUUGUUGGGGCAUUCCUUGACUAUAGUUCUAUAUCUAUCCCAGAUUUUAUGAAGGGGUUCAUUUGGUUCCUGUUUAAAUGUUAAGAUCUCAUCUCUUAAUUUAGCCAUAUGUCCCGGUGAGAAAAACUUGGCUAUAAACUUGUCGGCCAACUCAUCCCACAUAGUGAUAGAAUAAUUGGGGAGUCUUUCGAGCCAGUCCAAAGCUUUCCCUCUAAGUGAGAAAGGGAACAAUCUCAAUCUUAAUGCAUCCUUCGACACAUUUGUUUGCUUGCUACCCCAGCAUGUAUCCAUAAAUCCCUUUAGAUGUUUAUAUGCAUUCUGAUGGGGAGCACUUGUGAAGUACCCUCUUUGCUCCAAUAAGGUCAGCAUGACAUUUGUAAUCUGGAAAUUGCUAGCCCUGAUCCAAGGUGGGACAAUUGCACUUGCGUACCCUUCAUUUGGAAGCACUCGAGGAGCCACUCGUAGAGGAGGGUCGAGAAUGUUUUCAUUAGCCUGGCGACCUCUUCUUUGACCUUGAGGUACUAGAGGUACCUCAUUGUCACCAUUAUCAUCUAUCUCCUCCCCCGGGAUAACAUUUUCGAUAGGAUCAUUGUUUGCCAUUUUGUACCUGAAUCGAUCAACUCACACAAGUUAGUAAAACAGAAGGAAAGAAAAACAAAACACACAGCUAGUCAGAUAGAUAGCCAAAAACCAUUUAACUCCACAGCAACUGCGCCAAAAGUGAUCAUCUCCAACUCUACACCACAAUAUAAUGGGGGAGGAGUGGUCGAUAAAGCUUUUAACCGAAAGGUCGGGAUCGAAUCCACAUAGAGUAAAUAUAGGUUUGGAAUCGGGUUUCUAUCCAAUCUAGCUAUGUGUGUUGUUCUUAAUUGCACUUCUAAACAUGUUUGGAUUUGUUACUAUUCUAAUUUAAUGCUAAUGAAUUCUGAAAAGAAUCUAAGUACAAUAUUUUUUUGUAAGGGUUUUCUCAAGUGAUAAAAGGCACUAGGGAAGUGACUUAUACCUAGGCGAGUAUCUAAUGGGAUCUAAAAUUUAGUACAAGCCGCUGCGAGAUCGGAAGAGCGUNNNNNNNNNNNNNNNNNNNNNNNNNNNNNNNNNNNNNNNNNNNNNNNNNNNNNNNNNNNNNNNNNNNNNNNNNNNNNNNNNNNNNNNNNNNNNNNNNNNNNNNNNNNNNNNNNNNNNNNNNNNNNNNNNNNNNNNNNNNNNNNNNNNNNNNNNNNNNNNNNNNNNNNNNNNNNNNNNNNNNNNNNNNNNNNNNNNNAUACCUCUNGGUAGAUUGAGCGACUUUGCCCUAAUUGGCUUUCUCAAGACCAAUUGGGUGUUCAAACAAUACAAGUAAAAUUGGCUCAAGUCGGGUAUUACUAUCUCUAGGUUUAACCAUUUAAUUGGGGCUAUCAUUCUCUGAGUGCACUUCAAUUCCUUGUUAGCCUGAAUUUCCUAGACUUAAUCCCUCUUUUCAAGAAGAGUAUAGGUCAUAGAGACAUGAAUUAGUGUUUGCAACCAUCAAUUCUACAAUUAAAACAUGAAACAAGCUAAAUAUCACUAACCCAUAAAUAAUUAAGCCCUAAAAUAGAAGGCCCAUUAAAUACCCACACUAGGGUUGGGUCACAACCCUAGCUAAUGGGUUUAGCUACUCAUAAUAAAGGUAGAAAUCAAAGAUGAAGAUGAAAUAUAAGCCAUAAAAGUCACUUACAAGAAGAAAAUCUAAGAUUAAUGACUAAAGAUGUUCUAAAAUUAUUCUAAGUAGUAAAAUAUGGCUGCUCACAAGCUCCACAAUACAAAAGAUACCCUAAAAAUCUGAAAAAGAUCUAUUUAUACACAGCUAAAAUUACUGGACAAAAAUGCCCCUAUGGAGGUUCUGCUGAUAGCAAAAAACUGAUCGCCUCAAUGCUUGGACUUCCGUGACCGCGCAAAAGCAAGUGCGGACCACAGUUCUUCUCUUUUGAGCUUGGUCUGGACUUGAUUCCGCUAGGAGCGGAAAAGCAACCGCCUCAGCAUUAUCUUCAACCGUGGUCACGAAAUAUGUUCGCGGACCACGCUUUUUUCCAGUUGAGCUCCAAUCUCAAGUCGUCUAUUUCUCAAUUCCACUGAGGGAGAAAUUUGGAUCGCGGAUGCGUCAAGUAAGUCCGCUGCCGCGCUAUUUCGCCAUGGUCAGUGGUCUCUGAUGCCUUCAAAACUCUCUCUCUAAACCUCAUUUCCACUGGGAGAAUAAUUGUGGUCGCCCCUGUGGUUGUCCUUCCGUGGCCGCACUCUUUCAUUGUUGUCAACGCUUUUUCUCUCAGCUUUGAGCUUGUGCAGAUUUCAUUCCUUUAUGAGCUGGUUAUGACUUUCUUGCUUUAUUUUGACCAAAUCCUGCAAACAAGCACAAUACGUCAGUUUUCGGGAAUACUUUUACAUAUUUUUUAUCCAAAACCUAAGCAAAAGAGAGCAUAAGAUAGGCUAGAAUCCAUAAUUAUCAACUCUCACAGCACAAAAAAAAGAUGAAGAACAGAGUGAGACUCCACAGGUAGAAAAGUCCUCUAAGGUUGGUAUUGAUCAAUCUUCAAGUACUCAUGUCUCGGAGUUUUCUGCACCCCUGGAAUCUCUAGAGAAAGAGGCCAUAGAAAACAUAUUGACUAUAUCUGCUGAAGGAAUAAUGUAUGGAGUCACCCCUGCCAUGUCUGAGACUUAGGAGGAAGAGACUCAGUCAUUGGUGGGAGAAGAAACUGUGGUGCUCUUUGAAAAUCCUACACCAGAAGAAACUAUUGGGACCCUUCUUGAAGGACUUGACCCCUCUCCUGAGGAAACAUGUCAAGGAUCCUCUUUCCAGGUCAGUUCUGACCCUGCUCCUUAUUCUCACUUUGAUGUUGAGCCUUUGGAAAUUUUGGCUCCUGCUAUGAGGUCUAGUGAUGAAGAAGAUCAAGAUAAUGUUGCUCUAGAUGCGCUCAUUGCCAGAAGGAGGUCAGUAGCCACUCCUGAACCCUCUUCUAAGUGACCUACUACUAGGUUGCAGGCAAAUAAGGCUCUUGAAUCUGCCCUGCAAAAAAAUAAAAGGAGUAGCAUGAAGAAGAAAAGGAGGCUGGUGAAAAAUGGAGAGGUUGUGUGUGACAAGAACAUCCCUGUUGUGGAAAUAGAUGAGGAAGCUGCAGAGGAACCAAGUUCCUUAGUCAAGAGAUCUCAUAAAAAAGUGAUCUGCUAAAAAUGCUUCAGAAUAAGGUGUUGCAAUUCCAAGUUCAAAGUCAGUGAAAAGUAGUGACAAGUUAAAAGAAGUAGUGGCUGAAGAGUCACUGUCUGAUGAGGAUAUCCUAGUGAAAUCAAGUGGAAAAGGUAAGUCGAGUGUGAAGUCUGGUAAAAGAAAGGUGGAAACUGCAAGGGAACCCAAAUCUGCAAAGAGAGUGAAACAUGAAAGUAUGUCUGGUAAAGAAAGGUUGAGGUACCAAAAGGUUUUGUGGGGUCGCACUUUUGACCCAAAAAUAUCUGAGAUGGCUGGUAUGAGGCAAAUAGUAGAUAUGGUCAAAUUUCAACAGUGGGGACAUCUGUUCAAAGUAGAUGUACCCAAGGUCUAUAAGGAUGAGGUCCAAAAUUUCUAUGCAGACCUCUUUACUGUUGAAUCUAACCAUAUCUAUGCUCUGGUCAAUGGAGUUGAUAUUGUUUUGGAUGCUGCUCUGCUUGGAGACAUACUUAAAGUUCUUGCUUAUGGUAUGUCCUCUUAAAGGAUGUGUGUGGCUCAAAUUUUAGACAUGCUAUUGUACAGGAGGGAGCAGUUCAGCAUGGGGAAUGGGUGCAUAAGAAAGCUCUGCUUCCUAUUUAUCAGCUCUUGUUUGAGUUGGUAAACAAGGUCUUUCUACCUCGUGCUGAGAGGAGAUCUAUCACUUCCAAGUCUGAUCUGUAUUUGAUGGAAGUACUGGAUGGGUUCCGAUCUGUUAGUCUGCCAGCCAUAAUGAUUAACCACAUGCAAAAGGUGGAAACUUUCAAAGAUGGAAACCAUGGUCUUCCUUAUGGAUUUCUUCUUACGCAUGUUUUCAAGUUCUUUGAUGUGUCUUUGGGAUAGCCCAAGAUAGGGACCAAGAAGCAGACCUUCUCUCAAACCACUUUGGAGGAAUGUGAAUGUGUUGAAAAAGGUGGAGGGGUAGGAAGCACUUCAACAAUCUCUCAGCUUAUCAAUACCUAGAAUAGUGCUACUGAGGAGAUCAGAAAGUUGAAGGCAAGGAAUGCCAUUUUGGAGAAUCAGCAGGCUCAAGAGGCACCAGGGUCAAAUGCAGAGAUUGCUCGUCUGACCAAAGAAAAUGUUGAUCUCAGGCAACAGGUUGAGAACCUGAAGGAGAAACUGCUCGCAGAGCAAAUGUCGGCCAAUGCUCGAAUUGAUCUCGUUCUCAACACUCUUGCUACAGCUUCUAAGCCCUCUUCCUCUAGUGUCCCCUAGGCAAAUCCUUCAGUGACCCAUUUAGUUAACCUCUUUUGAUGUGAUGACUUGUGGUAGUUGUUUUUGUUUUCUUUUUUUUUGGUAUGGAUGGAAUCCACCUGCACUUCUCCCGCUGUUAACAGUCCAAAUUUUCCAUUGCUUUAAUGGCAAAGGCUUAUGUUUUAUAAAUAUUAAUGAAAACUCGCCUCUUUUGCUAUAACCGCUUAUGUUUCUCUACUUCUCUUCUCUAUCAUGUGGUGUACACAUAGGUGGCAUGUGUUAGCUAGGCUGGACUUCUUUAUGCUGAUUGCUUGCUUGUGUAUUUUUAAUGAUGCCAAAAGGGAGAAGUAUAAUUGAAACAGGGUUGAAACAGGGAUCUGAUUAAGGGGGAAGUAUAAAGUUAGGGGGAACUUAUGAAGUUCCUGUUGCUUCAUCUGGUUUAUUUUUCUCUGAAAAUGGGUUAUCAAUUUCUAAGUUUGUCAUCAUCAAAAAGGAAAAAAUUGAUGGGUUUAUAGUACCUUAGCUUUAUAUUUUGAUGAUCUAACAAAUUUACUGUCAAAGAACCAGAUAAGGGACCUGACACACUUGGUACACAACUCAAUCAACGGACUCGAGCUAAUAUGAGUUGCUAUGACUUUAGAAGAAAAAGAAUUAACAUAGCGACCUGAUCCCCUUGUAUUUCCCUGACAGCAGUACGAAGUCAACUGUCUACAGCUGGAAAGUGAUUGCCUGCACUGUACACGCAAACAGUGCAGCACAAUACUGCAAACACUCCCCUUUGACUAACCAAGUGAUUACAUCAUUUAAGUAAUGUCAUCCAAGUUGUAUUAACAAGUUUAUUACAACAAAACAUCACUUGAACAUUUGAGAAUUCGUUCAAGCUCUUCAACCGUAACUCGAUCAAGCAUUCAAUUCUCAAGUGCAUCAAGAACAAAGUACAAUGCUGUUAUGGACCAGUUCCUAAAGCUAGUCUCUUGUAUGUCCUUAGUUGAGUUGUAACUUUGUAAUUGUUCUUUAUUGUAAUUCCUACUUUGCUUAUUGAUAACUAGGGAUUCUAGCCUAUUUUAUGCUCCUUUUUUCUUAGGUUUUGGAUUAAAAGUGUGUACAAGUAUUCCUGAAAGCUAACUUAUUGUGCUUGUUUGCAGUGUUUGGUUAAAAAGAGACAAGAAAGUCAAAACUAGCUCAUAAAGGAGUAAAACCUGCACAAGUUCAAAGCUUAGUCAAAAGGGAGUUGACAGCGCAGAAAUAGACGCGGACGUGGAGGGUCCACCGCUGAGGCGGUCUUGAUUACGCUCUCAGCGGUGACAAGGUUACGAGAGUUGUAUUUUGGGCUUAACAAGUUACCGCUACCCACGGUGAAAUUGCAUGGCAGUAGUGUCUCUGACGCGGCCGCGGUCAAGUUCUCACUUUCAGCGGAAGUGAGAAUCGGAGAACUAAGUCUGGAGCUCAAAUUGAAGACCGCGGUCCGCGCUCAUAUUUCGAAGCCACGGUUGGAGGAACGAUAAGGCGGUAGUUUUUCUGCUCCUAGCAGACUCAAGUUUAGAACCAGCCAACAAGAGAAGAACUGCGGUCCGGGCAUGCUUUUGCGUGGCCGUGGUAGUCCAAGUGCUGAGGCGGCCCAUUUUCCGCUGUCAGUGAAAUCUCCGUAGGGGCAAUUUUGUCCAAAAAAUUUAGCUGUGUAUAAAUAUAUUUUUUUUCCAGAUUUUUAGGUCAUCUGUUGUUUUAGAGAGCAUGUGAAAAGCCGUUUUUAGCCUUUUUGAGUAAUUUUAGAACAUCUUUAGCAAUUAAUCUUAGAUUUUAAUCUUGUAAUUACUUUUCAUGGCUUAUAUUUCAUCUCCAUCUUUGAUUUCUUCUUUGAUUAUGAGUAGCUAAACCUAUUAGCUAGGGUUGUGCCCCAACCCUAGUGUGGGUAUUUAAUGGGUCUUUAAUUUUAGGGAUUAAAUAUUUAUGGGUUAAUGAUAUUUAACUUGAUUUAUACUUUAAUUGUUGAAUUGGUUGUUGCAAACACUGAUUUGUGCCUUUUUGACUUAGGCUCUUCUUGAGAAAGAGAGGUUAAGUCUAGGAAAUUCAGGCUAACAAGGAAUUAGUGAGAAUUCAAGAGAUUGAUAGCCCCAAUUAAAGGGUUAAACCUAGAGAUAGUAAUAUCUGACUUGAGCCAAUUUUGCUUGCAUUGUUUAAACACCCAAUUGGGCUUGAGAGAGCCAAUUAGGGCAAAGUCACUCAAACUACCGAGAGGUAUAGAGUGAUCAACUAUGUGCAAUGGUUAUAUCAUGAUUCCACUCACAAUAAUUUUUCCCUAAGGUUUAGACCCCGUUAGAUAUCCACCUAGGUGUAAGUAACUUCCCUAGUGCCUUUAUAACAAUUGAGAAAACUUUACAAAAAUAUCAUGCUUAGCUUAUUUUCAUUCUUCAUUAGUGAUUAAAAGUAGAAUAGUAACCAAAACAAAGCAUGAUUAGAAGUGUAAUUAAGAACAUCGCACAUAGCUAGAUUAGAUAGGAACCCAAUUCGAAAUCAAUAUUAUCUCUCUGUGGAUUCGAUCCUGACUUUUCGGGUAAAAGCUGCAUCGACCGUGCUUGCCAUUCUAUAGUGGCAUAGGGUUGGAGCCGAUCACUUUUUGGCUCCGUUGUCGGGGAGGUAAGCGGUUUUGGCUAUCUAACUGAUAGUUUUGUGUCUUGUUAUUCUUUCCUUGUGUUUUACAAAUUUUGUGCGUCAAUUGCUUCAGGUACAAAAUGGCAAACAAUGAUACUCUUGGAAAUGUUCUCCCGGUGGAGGAGGUAGAUGAUAACGGUGAAGAUGAGGUGCCUUUAGUAGCUCAAGGACAAAGAAGAGGCCUCUAGGUCAAUGAAAACAUUCUAGACCCUUCCCCAGCUCCUCCAAGAGUCGCUCCUCGGAUGCUUCCAAAUGAAGGAUAUGCAAGUGCAAUUGUCCCACCCCGGAUCCGGCCGGGCAAUUUCCAAAUUACAAAUGUGAUGUUGACUGUAUUAGAGUAGUGAGGGUACUUUACAGGCGCUCCCUAUCAGAAUGCAUAAAAACAUCUUAAAGGCUUUGUGGAUACCUGCUGGGGAAGCAAACAGACCAAUGUGUCGGAGGAUGCAUUGAGAUUGAGAUUGUUCCCUUUCUCACUUAAAGGGAAAGCUUUGGACUGGCUCAAAAGGCUUCCCAAUCAUUCCAUCACUACGUGGGAUGAGUUGGCAGACAAGUUUAUAGCUAAGUUUGUUUUGUCGGGACAUAUGGCGACAUUGAGAGAUGAGCUUUUGGCCUUCAAACAGGAACCUAAUGAACCACUUCAUGAGAUCUAGGAGAGAUAGCGGACAAUAGUGAAAGAAUGUCCAAACAAUGACAUGACCGAAGCAAUAAUCCAGCGGACAUUCUACCAUGGCAUUAACACGAUCAAUCAGUGUGUAGUGAACCAGCUAGUAGGGGGNNNNNNNNNNNNNNNNNNNNNNNNNNNNNNNNNNNNNNNNNNNNNNNNNNNNNNNNNNNNNNNNNNNNNNNNNNNNNNNNNNNNNNNNNNNNNNNNNNNNNNNNNNNNNNNNNNNNNNNNNNNNNNNNNNNNNNNNNNNNNNNNNNNNNNNNNNNNNNNNNNNNNNNNNNNNNNNNNNNNNNNNNNNNNNNNNNNNNNNNNNNNNNNNNNNNNNNNNNNNNNNNNNNNNNNNNNNNNNNNNNNNNNNNNNNNNNNNNNNNNNNNNNNNNNNNNNNNNNNNNNNNNNNNNNNNNNNNNNNNNNNNNNNNNNNNNNNNNNNNNNNNNNNNNNNNNNNNNNNNNNNNNNNNNNNNNNNNNNNNNNNNNNNNNNNNNNNNNNNNNNNNNNNNNNNNNNNNNNNNNNNNNNNNNNNNNNNNNNNNNNNNNNNNNNNNNNNNNNNNNNNNNNNNNNNNNNNNNNNNNNNNNNNNNNNNNNNNNNNNNNNNNNNNNNNNNNNNNNNNNNNNNNNNNNNNNNNNNNNNNNNNNNNNNNNNNNNNNNNNNNNNNNNNNNNNNNNNNNNNNNNNNNNNNNNNNNNNNNNNNNNNNNNNNNNNNNNNNNNNNNNNNNNNNNNNNNNNNNNNNNNNNNNNNNNNNNNNNNNNNNNNNNNNNNNNNNNNNNNNNNNNNNNNNNNNNAGAUACUUCCUCAACUUGGCAAAGUUGAGCUAAUGUGCCACAGGGUGAUCCCACUGUCAUUCACCUGCAUAAAGAGCUCCACGACCAUGGCUAGGCAAUAGCAGAGUUAACUACAACAAUGAACCAAUUGGCAAAAGCUCAAUUGCAACAAGUUCAAGCGCCGAGACAAGUAAAUGCUAUGGAAGGUGUCAACAUGUUGGUCAACAAGUGGCGACAAAAAGGUCAAUAAGGUCAAGGUAGUCCGGAUCAAUAUGAGUAGGGUAACAGUGGUUUCAACCAAGAUGAGGGGUAUGCUGAGCAAAGUGAAGAAGUCCAGUACGUGAACAAUUACCAAGGACAAAGGGGAAAUGCUCCUAACCAACAACAACAGUGGAGAUCCCAAGGAAACUAGGGGAAUCAAAACCAACAGGGAAAUAGCAACUAGGGGAACAACAAUUAGAAUUGGGGUAAUCAGAAUAACCAGGGCAACUGGAGUGGCAACAACAACAAUUGGGGAGGAAACAACAACCAGCGGGGGUGGAAUAAUAGAACUCAAGGAAAUCAGGGGCAAGACUUUCAAAGACCUCCUAUGUAUCAACAACCAAACAACCUGCCUCUAUUUCCAUCGCAAGGUCCUAGCUCGUCAAAUAAUGAGAUGGGAAGGAUCGAGAUGAUGUUUGAACAAAUGAUGAAAAGAAUGUCGACUCUUAUGCCCAGUUGGCAUCCCAUAAUACUUUAAUACGAAACUUGGAGGUUCAAUUUGGCCAAAUUUUGCAAUCUUUGAACACUCGCCUUAAGGGGGCUCUACCUAGUGAUACGGUACUAAACCCAAAGAGUGGGAACAACACCGGUCAUGCAAUGGUGGUGAUCACUAGAAACGGUCGAGGUGGUGAUGUGAAUACAUCCAAGCAAAAGGAAGUUGUGAGUGAUGAGGUUGAAGUGCAUGAUGAUGAUGUUCCUAUAGUUGAUGAGCAAGUGAGUGAAGAGAAUUUGAAUGCGGAAGUGAGAAUUGAUAUUCAUGAUAAUAAGGUGGAGACUCAAGAUGACGUGAACCCGUCUAGGGAACACGUAAUAGAUAAACCGGAAACAAUAGUGCCCAAGGAUAAGGCUCCCUUACCAAGGAUUCCUCCACCUUACCCUCAAAGACUUGCGAAGCAAAAUAAUGAAAACCAAUUUAAAAAGUUUAUUGAGAUGAUGAAAAACAUGUCAAUCAAUGUUCCUUUGGUGAAAGCUCUUGAGCAAAUGCUGGGUUACGCUAAGUUUAUGAAAGACUUGGUGACUAAAAAAAGAUCUAUGGAUUGUGAGACCAUCAAAAUGACUCAUCAAGUAAGUGCAAUUUUGCACUCGAUGGCUCCAAAGGUUGAAGAUCCCGGCGCUUUCACCAUUCCAUGUACCAUUGGGAGUGUGGAUUUUGCAAAGGCAUUGCGUAAUUUGGGAUCAAGUAUCAAUUUAAUGCCUUACUCCGUGUUAAGAACUUUAGGUAUUGGUCAACCUAGAGCUACUUCAAUGAGAUUGCAAAUGGUGGAUAGAACAAUAAAGAGGCUGCUUGGUAUUAUUGAUGAUGUUCUUGUCCGGUGGACAAGUUUAUUUUUCAUGUUGACUUUGUGAUUCUGGACUGCGAAGUAUACUAUGAGGUGCUGAUAAUAUUGGGAAGACCUUUCCUAGCAAUAGGGAAGGCAUUGGUUGACAUGGAAGCAGGGGAGAUCACCUUCCGGGUAGGUGACGAAAAAGUUAUCUUUCAUGUGUGCAAAUCAAUGAGGCAGUCGAUUAGUACUGAAGUUUGCUCUUUUGUUGGAUCUUGUCACGGAGGUGAUAGUUGAUAAUACUAGUGCCAUGGACAAUGUGGAGGAUCCUUUAGAAGUAGUAUUUUUUAACCUUGAUGUAAAUGAAGAUGAAGGUCGGGUGGAGUGUGUCAAUGCUUUGCAUGGAAUGGGCUCUAACUCUUAUGAGCCUCGUAAGCUCUCUUUGGAUUUUGAGAACAAAAAGACUCCCCCAACAAAGCCCUUAAUUGAGAAACCUCCCAUUUUGGAAUUGAAGCCUUUGCCCUUACACCUCAGGUAUGAAUUCUUAGGCCCUAGUUUAACUAUACCUAUUAUUCUUUUGUCUUGUCUUACUAAUGUGCAGGUAGAUGUAACACUGGAGGUGCUCCAAAGAAGAAAGAAAGCAAUUGGAUCGUCUCUCUAGCUGAUAUUCGGGGAAUAAGCCCCGCCUUUUGCAUGCACAAGAUUAUACUUGAAGAUGAUGCCAAGCCCUCCGUGGAACGUCAAAGGAGGUUGAACGAGGCUAUGCAAGAGGUUGUCAAAAAAGAGAUGAUCAAGUGGUUAAAUGUAGGGUUUGUAUACCCCAUCUCGGAUAGUUCUUGGACUUCUCCAGUGCAAUGUGUGCCGAAGAAGGGUGGUAUGAAUGUGGUCACCAAUGAGCAAAAUAAGUUGAUUCCUACCAGGACUGUCACCGGAUGGAGGGUGUGCAUGGACUACCGCAAGCUAAAUAAAGUGACCCGCAAAGAUCAUUUUUCAUUGCCCUUUCUUGACCAGAUGCUAGAUAGACUUGAUGGGCAUGCCUUCUACUAUUUUCUGGAUGGGUACUCAUGUUACAACUACAUUUUCAUUGCUCCGGAAGAUUAGGAGAAAACUACAUUCACGUGUUCAUAUGGCACAUUUGCAUUUCCUAGGAUGCCAUUUGGUUUAUGUAACGCAUCGGCUACCUUCCAGAGGUGUAUGAUAGCUAUAUUUACUGACAUGGUGGAGGACUUCUUAGAAGUGUUCAUGGAUUAUUUCAAUGUUGUAAGUGACUCCUUUGAUGAGUGUUUUAAGAAUCUUGACAAAGUGCUAGCCUAGUGUGAAGAGACAAAUCUUGUGCUUAACUGGAAAAAAUGUCACUUUAUGGUCAAGGAGGGCAUUCUCCUCGACCAUAAGAUCUCAAAGAACGGAAUAGAGGUGGAUAAGGUGAAAAUUGAAGUGAUUUCAAAGCUUCCUCCUCCUACUUCAAUCAAGGGGGUAAGGAGUUUUCUUGGGCAUGCGGGAUUCUACCGAAGAAUCAUCAAAGACUUUUCUAAGGUAGUGAAUCCUUUGUGCAAAUUAUUGGAAAAGGAUGCCAAGUUCAUGUUUAAUGAGUAAUGCAUGAAAGCGUUUGAACUUCUCAAGUACAAAUUGACAACAGUCCCAUUAAUAUCGCACCCAAUUGUAGCUUACCUUUUGAGCUCAUGUGUGAUACAAGUGAUGUUGUGGUAGGAGCGAUCCUGGGUCAAAGAGUAAACAAGAUGUUUCAUCCGGUGUGUUAUGCAAGCAAAACAAUGAAUGAUGCUCAGGUUAAUUACACGGUGACGGAAAAAGAGUUGUUAGCAAUUGUGUUUGCAAUGGAGAAGUUUAGGCCUUAUCUCAUGGGUGUCAAGGUGAUAGUUCAUACUGAGCAUGCAACACUCUGCUACUUGAUGACAAAGAAGGAUUCUAAGGCUCGGUUGAUGAGAUGGGUUCUAUUGCUUCAAGAGUUUGACCUUCAGAUUGUUGAUCGAAAAUAGAGUGAAAAACCAAGUGGCGGACCGCUUGUCCCACUUGGAGGAGGAGGGGAGGCCCCGUAUGGCCUCGAAAUUAAUGAAUCAUUCCCUGAUAAGCAACUCCUCUCUGUAUCUGUGAAUAGCAUGCCAUGGUUCACGGAUGUUUCCAACUUUCUUAUGACUGGUAUUGUUCCGCGUGAGCUCUCUUCUAACCAAAGGAAUAAGCUUAAACAGGAUAGCUUGGACUACUACUGGGAUGAGCCUUACUUGUUCAAAAUCUGUAAUGAUGGUGUGAUUCGGAGAUGUGUUCUGGAAGAGGAGCAAAUGAGUAUUCUGGAUGCUUGACAUUCCUCUCCCUACGGUGGUCAUCAUGGUGGGGCGAGGACAGCUUCAAAGGUGUUUAGCUGUGGUUUUUAUUGGCCUACAUUGUACAAGGAUGCGGGUGAGCUUGUGAUGAGUGUUAGGGAGCAGGUGGAAUUUCAAAGAAGGAUAAAAUGCCUCUCACCACUAUUCUUGAGGUUGACAUAUUUGAUGUGUGGGGCAUUGACUUUAUGGGACCUUUUGUGAUUUCACGUGGCAACACAUACAUUUUGGUGGCUGUUGAUUAUAUUUCCAAAUGGGUUGAGGUCGUGACUUUACCCAACAACGAGGCCCAGAGUGUUGUGGGUUUUCUCAAGAAGAAUAUUUUUACUCGAUUUGGACUCCUAGAGCAACCAUCAGUGAUGGGGGUUCUUAUUUCUGCAAUAAGGCAUUUGACACUUUGCUUACAAAGUAUGGUGUCAAUCACAAGGUUUCAACCCCUUACCAUCCUCAGGCUAGUGGGCAAGUUGAGGUUUCCAACACGGAGAUUAAGAGAAUAUUGUCAAAGAUUGUCAAUGCAAAUAGGACUGAUUGGUCAAAGAAAUUGGAUGAUGCUUUGUGGGCUUACAGGACUGCUUACAAGACUCUGAUUGUAUGUCUCUGUACCACUUGGUAUUUGGGAAAGCAUGCCAUCUCCCAGUUGAGUUAGAGCACAAAGCCAUGUGGGCUUUUAGAAAGUUAAAUCUUGAAUGGGAUGUUGCAGCAGAUCUCUGGGUAGAGCAACUCAAUGAGCUUGAUGAGUUCCGAUUUUAUGCCUAUUCCAGCUCAUCCUUAUAUAAGGAAAAGAUGAAGUACUUACAUGACAAUUAUUCUCGUAGCAAGGAAUUCAAGGAAGGUAACUUGGUUCUCUUAUUCAACUCCCGGUUACGACUGUUCCCGAGAAAGCUCAAGUCAAAAUGGAGUGGACCUUUUGAGGUGGUGCUUGCAACUCUAUUUGGUGCUCUUGAUUUGAAAAACAAAAAUAGUGAAAUCUUUAGAGUUAAUGGGCACAGAGUGAAGCACUAUCUUGGAAAGUUUGAUGACACCCACGUGGUGGCAAUAAACCAUCUCAAAUAAUUGAUGGUAACCUGCGUCGUGCCGCGAUGUUAAAUCAGACGCUUCUUGGGAGGCAACCCAUGUGUUUGGGAGGCAACCCAUGUGUUUUUCUUUUUUUUGAUUUUCUUCUUAGUGUAGGAUUUGUUUUGAACUAACUGGUUGUGAGAUGUGUGAAGUAAUGUUUGAUGCAGUGCAGGACUAAGCUGGAAAAUUUUUGCAAUAGUCUGAAGUUGGACCGCUGACAAUGCUCCAUUUUCUGCGGCCAGCGGUGGCCGUAUUGUGGAGGCAUGAUUUGAUGGCAGAUGCGGGAUUGAAAAAUUUGAAAAGAGACUUCUUUGAAGUUUCAUCCGCAUCCGCGAUGCAUUUUUCGCGGUCAGCGGUGCCUGUCCGUGGACGCAUGCCAUUUUCCACUCUCAGCGGAGGUUUUAAACAUGCAGCCCUUCUGUUUGUCGAUAGCAUAGACCAUGGUGAUUUUUCGCGGCCGCGCCAGGUGAGUUUUGUAGGGCACAAGGUGUUUUCUAUAAAUAUGAGAUCAUGAAGCUUUUUACCCUUUUCGAUCUUUUCUCUCUCAAAGCAAAAAAUUUCGUUGUUCAUCUGAGCCCUAAUCUGCACAAACACAAGAUUAAAGUUUAUUCUCAUCACUCAUUACACAUCUGGUAAUCUCACUUCCUAAUUGUUCUUUGAUUUGUACUUAUUUUUCUUUUAUCUAUUAGUUUUUAUCUCUUCUCCCUCUUUUUCGUUUAAUUUUAACUUAGGGUUCCUUAGUGUUAAUUAAAUUAGGCUCAAAUAGUUAAGGUUGAUUAAUUAAUAGCUAGUUGGGGUUAACAUGUAGAUGAUAUUGCUAAAUACAUGAAAAAUUUGAAACCCUAGGUUGACUCUGCCGAGCUACUGUGGGAACAAUUAGAGAACUUAAUUCCCUAUACUGACUGGUUUUACAGUCUGUUGCUUACAGUUGAAACUUAUAAAGAAUAUGGUUCUCUAUACAGUGGGAACUUAUCAUGUGUAUCAUUUACAUACUUGUUUAGUAGUUAGCACUGUACCAAACUGAUAUAGGACUAGAUCGCUAUACAGUUUGGUCCAUUAGUAUUUUCAAAGGAAACUCAUAGAGAACCAGGUUCUCUAUACAGUCUGGUGAAAGCUAAGUUUCUAACAAUUGGUAUCAGAGCAGGUUCUUUCUAAAAAUUUAACACCUAGAAAGGAUCUACAUGGCUGCUCCAUCAUAUUUCGAGGAAGGACAAUCAACGUACAGACCACCAAGAUUCAACGGCCAAUACUAUGGUUGGUGGAAAACAAGAAUGCAUGACUUCAUUAUGGCUGAGGACUCAGAGCUGUGGGAUGUAAUCUAUGAUGGACCUUUUGUUCCCAUGAAAACUGGUGGUGAGGGAACAGUUACAAUCCCAAAAACAAGAAAAUAGUACAACGAUGCUGAUAGAAAGGCUAUUGAGAAGAAUUUUAGGGCAAAUAAGAUUCUUGUUUGUGGCAUCGGACCACAUGAGUACAAAAACAUCGCAACUUGUCAGUCUGCUAAGGAGAUUUGGGAAGCUCUUCAAACUGCCCAUGAGGGAACUACUCAGGUUAAGCAAUCCAAAAUUGAUAUUCUUACUACUAAGUAUGAGUUUUUUGAGAUGAAAGAGGAUGAGUAUAUUCAAUAUAUGCACACACGUUUCACCUCCAUUAUCAAUGAGCUUCACUCCCUUGGUGAAGUCAUCCCAAGAAACAAGUUAGUACAGAAAAUACUCAGUGUUUUACCCAGUUCUUGGGAAAGUAAAGUAAAUGCUAUCACUAAAGCUAAGGAUUUGCAGAAGCUGACCAUUGAUGAACUCAUUGGAAAUCAUAAACUUAUGAGAUGAAGAGAAAGAAAGAUCUUGAAAGAAGAUAGCCCAAGAAGGAGAAGAACCUAGUUCUCAAGGCUGCCAAUAGAGACUCAAGUAGUGAUGAAUCCGACAUGGAGUAUCUCACUCGAAGAUUCUAAAAGAUGAUUCGAAAAAAUCCUGGGAUUCCAAAGAAAAGGAGUUCCAGCAGAAAUUUCGAAGAAAAUGAUUGCUGCCAUAAGUGUGGACAGUUUGGACACUUCAUUAAAGAUUGUCAUCUUCAUAUGUAGGAUCAUUACAAAACCAACACUGAAAAGGUCACUAAAAGGAACCAGGUCCCUGACAGAAAGUUCAAAAGAAGAGAUGUUGCUAACAAUCAUGUUGAAGCAAGCCUUGGUUGAUUGCGAAAAUUCCUCUAGUGAAUCUGAAGGUGAAAAUAUGAUGGUUGCUGACAAUGGAUCUUCAGAAUAUGAGUCAAUCUUUGCACUCAUGGCCAAAUCUGAUGAUGAUGAGGACAAGGAGGAAGAUGAGGUAAGUUUUCUUGAUGUUCAAAGAAAUUUGAAAACUUACUCUAAGAAAAAAUUGAUGUUUUUAGCAAAUGUGUUGAUUGAUGCCUAUCGCAGGCUCAUUAAUGAGAAGAAUUCUUUAAUAGAAUAAAUUGGUGGCAUUGAACAAGAGAAGGAUUAUAUGGGAGUUUCCAUUUUAGACUUAGAGGAAACCAUUGAGAGUAUGAAGAAAGAAAAAGAGGUUUUAACUGAGAGUAAUGUUAACAUUGAGCACGAGAGAGAUGACCUAUUGGUGGUAGUUGUAAACUUAAAGGAAACAAUUGGGGAACUUAAAAUGAAAAGUAGUCCUGAGAAUUCUCAAAAGGGAAAGGAAGUUGCAAGUGAGGCACACAUUAAGCUUGAAAGUGAGUUAAAUUCAGUGAAGUCUAGUUUGUGUGCUGAGCUUGAGAGAAACAAACAACUUCAGGAAGAACUAGGAAGAGUAAAAAGUGAUCUUGAAAAAUCACUUGAUGGACCUCAUCCUCUAAUGAAAUCACUGCCUUGUACACCAACAAUAGGGGAAAUAGGGAGGGAAUCAGGUUUCAAAGGGAAAAGACUCCCUACAACCCUUAUAGCAAGUAUGUUACUGUACCUGACAAUUGGUUUUGCACUCACUGUGGCAACACGGGGCACUUUAAAGAAAUUGUAAGGUCAGAAUUCAGUCUCAACAGAAAAAUAAAAUUUCUGCUGAAAAGGUAAUUGCUGCUACGGAACCUGGUCCUUCACAUAAAAAACGUAUAAUGCUUGUUUGGACCAAAAGAGCCCUCAUUCACCCCUUUUCUCAUUGCAAGGACUCCUGUAAAGUUAAAAUUCAGUCGUUGCAGAACAAUAAAGUUUUUAUUAAAAAGAGGCAUAUUGAUGAGGAACCUGGUUCCCAGAAAAGAAAAUAUGUGAUGCCUGCAUGGGAAAAAAGAAGUUUGAUCCACCCGUUCUAUCAUUAUAAGGGACCCAAACUCGUUGGUUCCUAAGUCUAACUCCUAAUUUUCUUGUGCAUGGAAAAGUGAAAGGGAGUAGCCUACAAUGGUACAUGGAUAGCGGUUGCUCAAAGCAUAUGACUGGAAGUAAAAAUGAUUCUCCUUUCACUUAAGGCCCUGCAAUGAGAGAGUGUACCCUUUGGAAAUAGCUAUAAGGGGUACACUCUAGGAGUAAGAAGGAUUGGGAAGUCACUCACUCAAUUGAGAAUGUGUACUAUGUCAAUGGCCUGAAGUACAGUCUCUUGAGUGUUUCUCAUAUAUGUGACAAGGGAAAUAAAGUGGAAUUGGUAUCAAAAGAUACAAGAAUGUUUACAUUGCUGAUUUUAAGUCCCUGCACGGUGGUGAUCUAACAUGCCUAAGUGUCGUUGACGAUAUGCUGAGUUAUGGUGGAGAUGACUGGGCAUGUGAGUUCUACUUGUUGAACAAAUUGGUUAUGGAGUACCUGGUUCAUGGGUUGAAGCAGUCAACACUGCUUGCUACUUGAUUAACAUGUGCAUGAUCAGGUCCCUUCUCAAGAAGUCUCUCUAUGAACUGCUUAAUGGGAGAAAAGCCAAGUUGACUUACCCGAGAGCCUUUAAAUGGAAAAUGUGUUGCUAUCAAAAAUGGUGGCAAAAGGGGCACAAAACAAAAAAGAUAAAUAUGGAGAAUUCAGAAAGGCUCCUGGUGAAGCUAUAGAUAUUGCAAAUGGAAAGAAUGAUUUGAUGAGUCAAGUCAAGCAGAAAGAUGAAGGAGAUGCAGUAGAAUCUCCAAAAGGCACAGAGGAACCUGGUCCUUCAAAUUCUAAAGUUCAAGUAUCCAACUAGAAGCAAAGUAGUUCACAUCCUUCAAAAUGUAAUCACAUUCUUAGACUCUGGUAUCCAACCUAGUUCUAAGAAAGAGCGUUUCUGGAACGGCACACUUUCUGGGUUCAUGCUUGAUCUCAUGGGGUACAAAGAAACAAACAAUGUGACUCUUUCUAUUGCUGAAGCUGAAUAUGUGGUUGCUGCUCUGUGUUGUGCUCAACUGUUACAGAUCAAGCAUCAUCUUGAAGACUUUGGUGAAUUUAUAGCUUGAACCCGGUACAACACAAGAGGACAAAGUGCAGUGACGUGUACAUCACUUUUGAGGGAUAAUGUUGAAAAGGUUCUGAUUUGUGUGAAGUUAUAGAAGACGAAGGAUUGGGUAACAAACAUCUUCACCAAGUCACUGAGCAUGGAACAUUUUGAAAGAAAUGGUCUAGAGUUGGGGUUGAUCAAGCUCAACUAAGGACCUGGUCCCUCGAUGAUUGGCUAUGUUAAGAAGGAAAGGUACAAUGCUAAAAGGUAUUUUUCGGUGACAUCUAACUCAAAUCUAUACUAUUACAAGUAUAAACAUAUGGCAGUUUCAGGAUAAAAACAAGUAAGAGUGACAUUGCACUUCUAGGAGUCUUUGCUCAAAAGUUUCAAAAACCGUCACGGAAUCUGGUUCCUAUGACUCAGGUUAGUAGUCUCUUCAAUACUUAUAUGCCUUUUUAAGCUGCUGAAGUGUCAUGUCAUUAAUUUUUUUCUACCUUUCUCCUGCCUCUCCUCCUAACUCUUGAAGUCCAAAAUGUUAAAACCUUUUCUGAACUGACUCGUUGCCCCAAAAAGGCACCUCUCUAUCUUACACCCAAAUAAAACUAAUUCUUUUCUUCAAAACCAAAAUCAAACUUGUCUCGAAAUAAUCCUUCUUCCCAAAUAUGCCAGAAGUGAACCUAAAUCUCUCACUUUCCAAAAAACCUAACUCCAUCAGAAUCAAAACCCCAAGAAUUCUUUGGUAGAUUUUGAUGGAUGCUCAACUGAAAAGGAACAGGGUAGAUCUAAUAUUCUAAAUCGUGAGGCUAAAAUUGUUGAUGGUUUUGUAGAAGCCUUGAAGGAUGGAGGAAUUGAUGAAUGUGCUGAAAAAGAGGGGAACUGAAUAAGGGACCUGGUCCCUAAAAUCCUUCUUAGGAUGUUAAUUCUAAUGAUGAUCUUUUUCUCUUGGGUUUUGUGCUUAAAUGAACCUAAUAAUCUAGUAAAAAGUAUUGAGAAAAGUAGGCUGAUUGAUGAUGAAGUGGUGUAACUUGCUGAUGUGGUGAUUGUGGAAGAGAGGAUAAAGUGGAAGAAUCUCAAUUUGUGAAAAAUAAAAGAUAAAAAAAUAAAUAAAUAAAUAAAUGGAGAAAAGAAAGUUGGCUGAGAAAGAUGCAACAGUUGAUAAGGGUGAACGGAUUGAGAAGAGAAAGAGGGAGAAAUGGCAACUCAAGGAUAGAAAGGAUAGUGUAAUUGAGGAACCUGGUUCCUUAAAGAAGCAAAGGUUGAGUUAUCAGGUUUGGAGAGGUAGAAGACUCUGAAGUCUCAAAAAGUGUUGUUAGGCAGAGUGUUGACUCUGAUAUUGCUGAAAAAUGGAGGAACUUCUUGACAUUGUUGAGUUCAAAAAAUAGAAUCACCUCUUUGUUCCUCCAAGACCCAACAUUUAUGAAGAAGAAGUAAAAAGUUCUAUGUUUUAUGUGACACUCUAAUGCUAUAUGUGUAUGGGACUGAGUUUGUUCUUGAUGAGAAGAAGCUUGGGAGAUUCUUGGUGAUCUGAUUGAUGGUUCAACCUACUCAGAUAGGUUGAGCAUCAGGUUCUCAUAGACCCUCGGCAGAAUAGAAUGCUAAGUUAAAGGAUGAGAAUAAAAGAUUGAGGAAACAGGUGGAGGAACUGAGCGAGCAGAUGACCAUUGAUCAAAGGAGAGUAAAUGAACGAAUGGACAAGCUCAUCAAGGCCUUAGCCCCUUACUUUUCCUCCUGCCCAAUGAUCCAUGUCUUUCACUCCAUCCAAAUUCCAUUGAAUUCUUAUCUUCUUUUUAUCCCUAUAUUUGAUGACAUUGGUACUUCAGUUGCUUAAAUUGUCAUAUUAUGUAUUGUUGAAACUACUGUGAUUUUAUCAUAAUUACUCCACUAUGGGCAAUCACUCUAUUUUGUGCACUGACAUUCACUUGUUGUUCUUGUUAUUGUUUAUGUUGUGUUGCCCAAGUGGCCUGAGGUAAUGUUGUUGAACUUCUUUUUGGUGGUACUUCUUCUAUUAUUCUUUUCGAUGAUGCUAAAAGGGGGAAGUUAUAUAGGUGUCAACAUGGGGGAGGAACAGAAGUGUCAAUAUGGGGGAGGAAUAGAAUCGAAUUGAUAUGUUGUGUUGUGCAUGAAAGAUGGAUCUGCUUCGUAGGGGGAAUGUUGCUGAUGGCUCUGCUUCAUAGGGGAAAUGUGCUGAUGAUAGGUCUGAUCCGCAGGGAAACAUGUGAGGAAUCUGGUUCCCAAGAGGAACAAUAAUUUUGGGUUUAUCAUCAUCAAAAGGGGGAAAUUGAUCUAAGUUACUCUAUGUCAUGUUUUGAUAAUGACAAAUGUUUUCAACAUACUAGGUACGGACCAGAUGUGAUCAGUGCAGAUAAGGAACCUGAUUCUCAGGGGGAUUCUGGGUUUGUCAUUCAUCAAAAGGGGGGAAACUUAUAAGUUAUGGUACUUUGAGUUUUGAUGAUUUGCCAAAUAGUCUUGAGGAACCAAUUGUGAUCAUCUCCUUAGGUUCGGUUCUCAUGGGGAAUAUUGUUGUUUCGUAUGGGGGAACAAUGUGGAGAUCUGGUUCUUAGGGGGGAUAUCAAUUCUAAGUUUGUUGUCAUCUAAAAGGGGAAAUUGAUAAGUUACAAGUACCUUGGGCAUAAGUACUUUACUUUAUGUUUUGAUGAUCUAACAAACUUACCAUCCAGAACCAGAUACGGAACCUAUUACACAUCUACAAGACCUUGAGAUCACAAAAUUCCAGGUUGGGAUCCAGCGUGGGAUAUAACUCAACUCUUUAGAGAGGAAGGAACAGCUGAGGAAACAGGUCCUUACCAGUUCCCGAGGAUACUGUAUGAAGUCAACUCUCCAGCAGGAAAGUUGCUGCCUGCACACGCUACUACACAGGAAUAGUGCAGCAGUCAACUUUUCUAUGGAAGGCUUUUACCUACCUUGCUUACAUCGUUGUAAGUGAUGUCAUACAAGUAUAAAUACAAUCAAGGAAGGUAAAAUAACUUACUUCAUGAGAGAACCAGAUAAAGGACCUGAAGCAUGCCUGGUACAAUCAUUCAAGUUAAUCGACUCAAAAUAAUUUGGGCAGUGUGCCUUUAGACUCACAAGAACCAGAUUAGGGACCUGAUACCUUGGUGUUCCCCUGACAUAAGUAUAAGUCAAUAGUACAGCUGGAAAGCAACUGCAGAAAGUGACUCCCUGCAACAGUGCAGCAGACAGUGCAGCAGUCACCUCCCAUUGGGAAGAGGCAUGUACUAGCCAAGAUUUGACAUCACUAAGGUGAUGCCUUUUGUAGUAUAAACCUUACGCAAGGCACAAUAUUCAGAUUCAAGGCUUGCAAAAUCAGAAAUGAAAAUCCUCCCUCAAGUGCAAGAACAACCUCUCUCAAGAACAAAGUUGUUUCAACCUCAAGGACUGGAUCCAAGAUUGAAUAUAUCUUAAGUCCUUAGGUUUGUUGAGUCUUUGUUAAUUGUUCUUUAUUGUAACUCCUAUCUUGCUUUCUUAGAAGCUAUUUUUAUGAAACCCACCUCUAAGUUUGUGUCUUGGCUAGAGUUAGUCGAGUUGUAAAAAAAAUUAACUAGAGAGUUACAAAGUGGCUUGUAAUAGUAUUAUUACAAGUUAGAGUGAUUAAAGUUUUUGUCACUAGAGAGUGAAAAAGUAGCUUGUGGUGAGAGUAUCAUAAGUUAGUCAAAGUCUUUGUAACUAGAGAGUCACAAAGUGGCUUAUGGUGAGAGUACCACAAGUUAGUUGAGUUGAAUCCUUUGUAAUAGAGUUAUUACAAAGUGGCUUGUAAUUGGGGUUUACAAGUUAGUGAAGUUGAAAGCCUAUAAGUGUAGGUCGUGGUUUUUGUCCCAUUAAUUUGGGAUUUUCCACAUAAAAAUCCUCUAUGUUCUUUACUUUCUACCGAGCUACUAUGGGAACAAUUAGAGAACCUGAUUCCCUAUACUGGCUGGUUUUACAGUCUGUUGCUUACAGUGGGAACUUAUAGAGAAUCUGGUUCUCUAUACAGUGGGAACUUAUCAUGUGUAUCAUUUAUAUACUUGUUCAGUAGUUAGCACUCUACCAAACUGAUAUAGGACCAGAUUGCUAUACGGUUUGGUUCAUUAGUAUUUUUAGAGAAAACUCAUAGAGAACCCGGUUCUCUAUACAGUCUGGUGGACGCUAAGUUACUAACAGUGUAAAUAGUAGCUAGUGAACAAUAGUGCCUCAACCAAAGCUUCACUUAGACCUAACACAUUUACCUUUGACCUUAUAGUUAAAAACAAAUUGAUAUGUAUAGGAUGGUGAAAGUUGUGACCUUGAGACUCUUGUGUUGACUAAAAAAUCAUCGAGUGAUUUCUCGGAACCAUUUGUGUUGCUCAAAUCUUAGCCAAGGUUGUUGUGGGCCCUCGACUCUGUCUGUUUAGCAAUCCUAUAGCUUGUGUGGUGAGGUAUUGAUUUUCAAGUCCAAGUCCCGUGCCAAAAAUUUAGAACUUGCCCUGAAUGUUUGUCUAGGCAAAAUCAUAAGUGUAGCUCGGCUUGAGAAGUGAGUAUAGGCUCUCAUUGAUCCUAAUUGAGACUUGAAAACAUCCAUAGCCCACCAAUGAUGAUAUCCCUAGUCAACCCCGUUUAGCCAUAGCCCUUAUUCUUUCAAAAACCGUGAUACAAGCCUUUAUCCGUUCUAAAAUGAUCCUCUCUUGGCACCCGAUCUUUCCUUAGUACAAGGCAAAAGCAUAAGUUUAGGGGGAGAGACGAGGAAUGCAAAAGUGAUAAAAGGUACAAAAUGAAGAAAAGGAAAGGUAAAAAGAAAAAGAAAGAAAAGCCAAAAAGUCAAAAAGAAAAUUAACAAUGUAGAAGAAAAGAAGGUAUUCAACAAAAGCAAAAGAUAAAAGGCUUGAAAAGAUUAGAAAGGAGAAAAAGGAUUUAAAUGAAUAAGAAAGAGUGGCAGUGUGUCUCUCUAUCCCCUAAGGAAGAAGUUAAUGACUCAAAGAGUCAAGAAAAUGUGAGCCAAAAUGAAGCAAAUGAAGUUCUUAAGGAAAGAUGAAACCUUCAUAGACCAAUAUAUCCUACCCCAUGACAAAAAGCCUUCAUUACAUUCCCGCAAAAGCCCUAUAUGAUCUUGAGUUGAGUGAGCUUACAUUAGUGGUGACUCACAUAAAGGGCAAGCUUAUGGUACUUAGAGCCGGACUUGUAACCUUCCUUUGAGAGAGAUGAGUGUGUUUUCCUCCAAUUUCGUGUUGAGUGCUACAAUCUAAAAGUGAGGUUUUCAUAUGGAGAGUCGAGGAGUAUGAGUUUGGGUCCCACAAUGACCAAAGUAGCAGAAAGUGUUUUCUUGAUAAGUUGAGUCAACUCUUGAUGCUUUUGUGCCGCACUAAAGCCAUGGUGCUAAAAAGGUUGUGUGUUGUUAAUAAUGCAUUUGAGUUGAGGAUAAUUAUUAGUCCCAAUUGAUGCUAGAUGAGGUCACUUUAGGACAGCUGAAAUUUUACUUCUUUUAUCUUGAGGAGGUGGUAAUUACUAUGUUUGCUUGAGGAAAAGCAAAAGCUUAAGUUUGGGGGAGUUGAUAACUAGGGAUUCUAGCCUAUUUUAUGCUCCUUUUUGCUUAGGUUUUGGAUUAAAAAUGUGUACAAGUAUAACUGAAAGCUAACUUAUUGUGCUUGCUUGCAGUAUUUGGUCAAAAAGAGAUAAGAAAGUCAAAACCAGCUCAUAAAGGAGUGAAACCUGCACAAGUUCAAAGCUGAGUCAAAAGGGCAUUGACAGCAAAGAAACAGACGUGGACGUGGAGGGUCCACCACUGAGGCGGUCUUGAUUACGCUCACAAUGGUGGCAAGGUUCAGAGAGUUGUAUUUAGGCUUAACAAGUUACCACUGCCCGCGGUGAAAUUGCGCGGCAUUGGUGUCUCUAACACGGCUGCGGUCAAGUUCUCGCCCUCAGGGGAAGUGAGAAUCAAAGAACUAAGUCUGGAGCUCAAAUUGAAGACCGCGGUCCACGCUCAUAUUUCGCGGCCGCAGUUGGAGAAGUGCUGAGGCGGUAGUUUUUCUACUCCCAGCGGACUCAAGUUUAGAACCAGCCAACAAGAGAAGAACUGCGGGUCCGCACUUGCUUUUGCGCGGCCGCGGUAGUCCAAGCGCUGAGGCGGCCCAUUUUCCACUGUCAGCGGAAUCUCCGUAGGGGCAAUUUUGUCCGAAAAAUUUAGCUGUGUAUAAAUAGUUCUUUUUCAAAUUGUAAGGUCAUAUGUUGUUUUAGAGACCACGUGAACAGCCAUUUUUAGCCUUUUUGAGUAAUUUUAGAACAUCUUUAGCAAUUAAUCUUAGAUUUUAAUCUUGUAAUUACUUUUUAUGGCUUAUAUUUUAUCUCCAUAUUUGAUUUCUUCUUUGAUUAUGAGUAGCUAAACCCAUUAUCUAGGGUUGUGAUCCAACCCUAGUGUGGGUAUUUAAUGAGUCUUCAAUUUUAGGGCUUAAAUAUUUAUGGGUUAAUGAUAUUUAGCUUGAUUUAUGCUUUAAUUGUUGAAUUAGUGGUUGCAAACACUUAUUUGUGCCUUUUUGACUUAGGCUCUUCUUGAUAAAGAGAGGUUAAGUCUAGGAAAUUCAGGCUAACAAGGAAUUGGAGUGCUGCAUUCAAGAGAUUGAUAGCCCCAAUUAAAGGGUUAAUCCUAGAGAUAAUAAUACCCAACUUGAGUCAAUUUUGCUUGCAUUUUUUAAACACCCAAUUGGGCUUGAGAAAACCAAUUAGGGAAAAGUCACUCAAACUACCGAGAGAUAUAGAGUGAGCAACUAUGUGCAAUGAUUAUAUCAUGAUCUCAAUCACAACAAGUUUGCCCUAAGUUUUAGACUCUGUUAGAUACCUACCUAGGUGUAUGUCAGUUCCCUAGUGCCUUUAUACCAAUUGAGAAAACUUUACAAAUAUAUCAUACUUAGCUUAUUUUCAUUCUUCAUUAGUGAUUAAAAGUAGAAUAGUAACCAAAAUAAAGCAUGAUUAGAAGUGUAAUUAAGAACAUCGCACAUAGCUAGAUUAGAUAGAAACCCAAUUCCAAACCAAUAUUAGCUCUCUGUGGAUUCGAUCCCGACUUUUUGGGUAAAAGCUGCAUCAACCACUCUUGCCAUUCUAUAGUGGUAUAGGGUUGGAGCCGAUCACUUAUCUAGAAGUUUUAAUUAGGAACCUCUUGUAAACCAUAAACUUUCAGUGUUUGUGUCGUGACUAGAGCUAGUCAUGAAUUGAAGUCUUUGUAAUAGGUGUAUUGCAAAGUGGCUUGUAAUAGGUGUAUUACAAGUUAGUGAGGGAUUAAGAGUUUAAUUCCUAGAUUGCAUAGAUUGUAAUCUGAAGUUUGCUCAUAGUGAAGUUCAAAUCCUACCAGUGUAGGUCGUGGUUUUUUCAUCCCCUUGAGUAGGGAUUUUUUCAUGUAAAAGUUCCAUGUUCUAUUUGCUUACUGUCACCUUAGCAUUCUCUGUGGAAACCUAUGUAGGACCUGGUCUCUAUAUAGUUUGGUGGACUCAUAUAUUCUAUCACUUAGACAUGCUUGAAUAUCACUUUACAGGAAUGAAUAGCAUAGACAUCCUUAACUGCUAAGAGUAAAACUACUUAUGGAAUAGCAUUACGUUUAUGUAUCGUUACUUUGAUCAUGCCAAAAGGAAGAAGGGAUAGCCUUAACAUACUUGAUCUGAUUCUCUUAACAAUCCCUUUAACACAUGUCUUUGCAAAAAACACGUAACGCCAGGUCAAAGUAAGGGAAAAAUUCGUACUUGAUAUUCUUGAUAUCAUAGCACGUUAUUUCUUAUCCAACUAAUAUUCACUCCAUACUCUACAUCAUCAAACAAUUCUUUCAGCCUUCUUCUUGUCAUGUCUUCCAAUUCUCCAACUUAUAUCACUAAUAAAGAAACCGAAACAAAGGUAAUUAUCCAAAUACUUUCACGUGUAAACAAGGUAUCUUAUGUGUUAUGACUCAUCAUGCACAUUGGUGCCAUCUUGGCCUAGAUUAAUGCCAUAUGGAAGCCUAUAACAAAAUCUUUAUCCACUUAAUCCUGUUUAAUACCAUAAUUAUCCCCAUAAUUAAUUAAUUAUUCCCAAAAUUAAUUAAUUACUCACAUAAUUAAUAAUUAUCUCAAAUUACUUAAAAUACUACUCACUUUUAACCUACUUUAUACACCUUAAUAUCAUAGUUAUGUGGUACCUUGUAUGGCACUAUAUUAUAAAUACUGGGUAUUAUAGCUUGGACCGUAUUUUAUCCCAAAUUGUCAAACUUCGACGAAACUCAUUUUCUUCGAUUCACUUACCCUCUCACCUUCACGAAUUUACUUAUAACUUAUUUAAAAUGGCGUACUUAUAACCUCGAAAACAGUCUUGUCCUCAACCUAAAAUACUACUAUUAAAAUAUUAAAGUAUUAAUAAAUCAUGGUAUCAUAUAAAAUUAAUACAUAUACUAUUAUUUUAUUAAAAUCUAUACAUGUAAAAAUACAUAUAUUUUCUCAACUUCUAAUUUUCCUAAUCUCAUAUAAAGAGUACAGAUUUUUGUAUGCUUAAUUCUUAAAAUGGUAAAAAUAUAACCUUCUUUUUUUUGUGAGGAAAUAAUUUCUAUCUUUACAAUAAAGAAAAUGUCAUAAACUUUCUCAUAUUAUGUGUAUAAUUUAAAGCAUAUUCAAAAUUAGUAAUAUUAAUAACUAUAUAAAAUCAUAUUUUUCAAACUUUUUUUACAAAAAUGUUCCACUCAAAAUAUCAUAUCAAAUGUAUAUAACGGUAUCAAGGUUGUUAAACUUACGGGGUCUUACAAUAACAUAAUCACAAAUUCUUUAUAACCUUAUGAAUGGUCUUAAUCCCUUCAAGCUCAUAUAGAUUACUACGACUCAUCCUAAUAUUAAGUACGGGAUGUAACACUUUGAUAUUGAGUUAUUUGCUUAAUUACAGUUAUGUAUUCAGUCGCAUUCAUCAUUACAUAUCAUAUCUUAGUCUUUGUUAUUGUAUAUUUUCACAUCUCAUAUAAUUGAUUUGGCUGCUUAGCAUGAGUGUGGUGAGCUCGAGAGACUGGAGAGAUUGAUGUCUGAGUGAGGUUGAGGGCCUGAUUUUGAGGAUAUCGAUACUAUAGCACGUGAGUUGUCUGUGCAGCAUAUGAGUUGUCCGUGCAGAUCCAAAUAUUGAUGCUAUAGCAUGUGAGUUGUCCGUGCAGCACGUGAGUUAUCUGUGCACAUCCAGAUAUUGACACUAUAUCACGUGAGUUGUUCGUGCAGAUUAUAGCGCUUGAGCUGAAGGAGCCCCUACGGAGUCUGUACACCCGAGUAAGCGCAGUUGCUAGCAGUUAUUAUGUUUGGACUGGAUUUGCCAUGUAUAAUAAUGAGUAAUUGAGUGUGUCGAGUGAUUGAGCAUAAUGAGUAGAAAGUGUGAGACAGUGAAAUUGAGUACUCUGAGAGUGUGAGUACAUAAGUUCAUCACUAAGAUACAAUGCAUUUGACAUGCGUACUUGAGAUACAUGCAUAGAGAUGCAUUUUCUUCUGCUACCUGAUUUUGGUGACAUUCAUGAUUUCACUUGUAUAUUGACACAUAAGCAUAGAGAUGUAUAUUCCUCUUGCUACCCGAAAAUGAAACAUCUUGUUUAUUGUUGUAAGAUUUUUGGGGAAAAUCACACUUUUCAAACUUACUCAUACAUUUUUCGUGUUAUCGGUGAAAGAUUUAGAAUUGACUGCUAUACUUGAAAGGCAUGCCUAUUUUUCCGUAAGUGUGAGCAAGUUGAGCAUCUUAUCUAUGAGUUAUUUCCUGUACCACUUUUAUAAUAUUAUUAUGAAUUGUGGCUGGUUAGUGGAGUUGGACUUUGACCCUUGUACCGGCUCAUCACAACUUUCAAACUACGGUUAGGUUUGUUACUUGUUGAGUACAUGGAGUCAAUUGUACUCAUACUACACUCAUGCACCUUGCGUGUAGAUGUUGGAUGUUGAUGUUGUUGCGCACGUAGGGAGCUGGAUUUGAAGAUGUAUCUGUGUUUCGGCCAUAGCUACCUCUUGAUCUUGGUAGCUUCAGAAUUUUCAUCUGUUCAUGUAUAUUUCAAACAGAUGAUGUACUUUAUUUUAUACCUGCUUUGUAAAUUCAAAAAUCUUAGAAGCUCAUGAUUUGUACUACCAGUCCUUGAGAAAUUCUUUGUAUUAAAGCGGUUGUAUUACCUUUUCUUCUCUUAAUAAAUCUUAUUAAAUUGGAUAGUUGGUUAUUUCUUACCUAGCGGGUUGGAUAGAUGCCAUCACGACUAGUUGGAUAUUGGAUCGUGAAAAGUUGGUAUCAGUGCCCUAGGUUUAUAAGUUCUACGAGUCAUGAGCAAGUGUCUAGUGGAGACUUAAGGAUCGGAAUGAUGACGUCCAUACCUAUCUUUGAGAGGCUACAUGGCAUUUAGGAUAAAUUUCCCAUCAUUCUUUCUUUAUCAUGCGACAAUGAUUUAGCCUGAAGUAUAACUCUUUGAAAUCUCUUCCACGCAAUUGUGAGCGCUCGAUAUCAACUAUGUAUCAACGGCUAGUGAUUCCAUGGAUGGGGUGCGAGAUGUGAUUUUUGUGUGCUGAUGAUGGGCCAGUCUGGAGGACUUAAGGCCGGGUUUUGACAGUAGCUUGAGCACAGGGAUUUCGAUUAUGCGAGCAGGUGCUUUUGGACUUAUAUUUCUCGAUGAGUGGCUGGAUGGCUCUAUGAUGAGUAUGAUGUGACUGCGAGAUGUGUUCAGAUGGUUUGAUUGCGACAAGAAUAGUAUGCUUGAGAUGUAAAAAGGACUAUUGGGUAUUUGAUCGUUGUCUUGAUGUGACGUAUAGUCUCGAGUUAUGAGUGUGUUGAAAGUUUUUUCACGUUGUUCUUUCGUGGGGUGAAGCAGAUUCAUAUGUUCGGUUGACGAGCUUAGACUCGGGAAGAUGUAUUGAAUGCUUAGUGGUUAUGGUCGUGGUAGGACAUAAGGGCUGUCAGUUUGGGGUUGAGCGGGUGGGUUAUCUCUUACGGGGUGUCCAAAAGUUGUGUGAUUCCUUAUGUUGUUUUUGUGGAGAGUUCUCUCUUACCAGUGGAUUAUAUGUGUUGCAAUUUGAGUUUGGAUCGCUUGAGGAAGUUGGCUUGACUGUGACAAGGAUGAAUGCGAUAUUUGUAGAUAAUUUAAAGUAUUAAAUGGUUGGCGUUGCACGAGCUUAUGAAGGACUUAGUUGAAUAUCACUACAGUAUUAUGGCAGGAAUAGAGAAUGGGUAUACUAAGUUAUCGACUGUCUUUAGCUAUGUCUUUGAUCUAAGUGGGGGAGACUAUUAUCGAUAAUUGUAUUUCAUGAUUAUGUGUUGUACUGGUUUUGGUUUGAGGCAUACUUAUGAAUCAGAUAUGACUUGUAGAGGUCGAUUUUGAGGAUGGCUUAAGUAAGGAAUUUUGGGAUGUGUGGUGUAUUACACUUUAUAGGUAUAUGAAAAUCGUGGAAUGAUUUGACUUUGCUAUUCAUGACAAAUGUAGUGUGCAUAGAGUAGGGGUUCACUCGGUUAUUUAGAGGUGUGGGUUACUUCUUCAGGUGUUGUUGUGCUAAUGAGGCAUAGGUCAUUUGGCCCAUUUGGGCAGUGCAAUUGAGAUUUAGGCAGAAUGGGUGACUCUCGAGAAAGUUCUAAUGGAUUCAAGAUUUAUAUAUAGCAAUUAUGAGUUUUUCCGAAUUGGUAUAUGGCUAGGAUCUGAGAUUUACAUUGGAUGGUGUUGAUGCUCGCGAUAUUUCUAUGUCAUUAUGAAUUUUACAUUUCGAUAUCAAGAAGGUGAAGGAAAUGACUUUAGACUCACAGAAGGUCUCUUUAGAAUGGGUAUCUUGGUUGUGAUACUUUUGGGGUACUUAAGAGGGAAUUCAACGGCUUAUGAGCCUUAGGGCGGUGUGGUUCUAAGUCUUGUAGGGUGAGUUUUGGUUAAGGAUUGUGGUAUUCUGGCAAGGAAAAGUGUCACCUUAAGGUUGAUUCGGAAGGAACUCAGAGAAAUAGGACAGUUUGGUAGUAGGUUGGGAGCAGAUAUGGUGAUUCUUAUGUUAUAUGAAUUUGGAGACUAGGAGUUCUCAAAAGCAGAUUAUCUUGUGGUUGUAGACUGUAAAGUUGUGGCUAAAGCUAGCCAGAUGAUAGUAUGUGUUAUGAUUCAGUCAUUGUAGACUUUCGGAGGGUUAUUUAUCUAUUUGUGGGUGACAAGAGUUGAUUUCGGGUCCAUUUGUGGGCACAAUGAGGAUGUGUAUUCUACACCGGGUCAGAUUGGUUAACUCCGUACUUCUAUUAUUGAGGGAUGUUCCAUUCGAUUAGAGUUGAGCUUAUUCGUAUUCUGAUAUAUUCUAUGAUUUACCCUUCUAAUCCAUGAGGGGUGGUGAUUCCUUGGUUAUAUGCACACAUGGUGCGGUUCUAUUUGGGACUUAUAGCGGUAAUUGAGCGAGAUGGGUAUUAGGGUAUUGAAUGAGUGAUUGUGCAUUGGUUAUGUUCUUUCCAGACUAUGGUAUUGUGUUAUUUGUUUCUAUGUGGUUAUGGUCAUGCAUCUUGGGUACUUGAUGUCGAAUUAUGCAUGGUCUUUGAGUUAGGAAAUGGUGGCUUGAGGUAUUUUAUAUAGACCAGUAUUUGAAUGGGGUCUAGGGGUGGGCAUCGGUCGGCUCGGUUCGGUUGUGAAUAUUAUCGGUUCGACAUAUCGGUUAUCGAUUUUUAAAUAUGCUAAACUGAUAAGAUAUCAGUUAUCGAGUAUCGGUUAGUCAGUUAUUGAUCCUUAUCGGUUCGUUAUCGGUAUACCCGAUAAGAAUAAAAAAAUCCAAAAAUUUAUAUUUUAUUAUAUAAAUCGUGAUCAUACUGUUAAGAGAAAGGGACUGAAUUUUUUCUCUUAAGAAAAGAGGGAUUAAAUUCCAACUUUAGAAAAAGAAAAAUUUCUUUGCAUUUGAAAAUCCUAAUGAAUGAUCUAAACUUUCAUAGUUAUAAGUUAGUAGGAGUAAGGAAUAAGACAUUCAAUAGUCUAAUCUUACUAACUUUCUUACUGCGGGCUGGCAUAAUUCACAUGAAAAUAAUAAAAACUUAAUCUUAUAAAUACUAAAGAAUCAGUGCAACAAAAGAAAUAAAUAGAAAAAUCAAAAAUCUGAACAAUUAAUUCUUUUAAAGUUUAGAACUAAAAAUCUUAAUUGAAGAAUUAAGAUGAGAAAUUCAAAAAUGUUUAAAACUUACUCUAAGGAUUAAGGUCUAAAUAUGAAGAGUAACUAACGAGAGAUAUUGAGAAAAUGAGAGAAUGAAGCCGUAAGGUGGCUUUAUAUACUUAGUGAGUGAAAUUAUAAUUUUAUUAACGCUUAUUGGGCUGUCGGUUAAACCAUUAAUAAAAUUGGGCAAAUCGAGACCCAAACCGAAUACCCAAUAGUCAAAUAACGUUAAAUUGUUAUCGAACUAUUUACCCAAUACUGAUAUCGAUAACCCAAUAGUAUUUUAUCAGUUUGGGCUAUCGGUUAUACUCGAUAUAAGCCCAGCACUAAUGGGGUCAUGCAUUGCAACAGAGUUAUGUUGAGAUAUGAUCCUUUGUGUUAGGUUCGUGUAUCUUGGUUCUACUAUGUAUGAUGGAUUUGUAGCAUUGCGAUUGUGGUGGUACUUUUUGAACUUGCGAGAUGGUUUUCUCGUUUGAGUCAUUUUUCAUGAUUGAGUACAUUUGGAUUGUUGCUUAUUGGUGCACGGAUUGCACAGUUUGUGGCUUUAGGUUGUAUUGAUAUGGAAAGUUACUAGAGUGGUUGUGUUUGAUAAGAUGAGGUCAUUGGACCUAGAAUGGAUACUAUCAGAUUUGAUUACGGAAGAAUAAUAUCGGAAGUUGGCUUACGAUUUGGCUUUGGUUCUUAUGAGAGCUCCAUGACUUAUUGAUAUGAUAAAUAGUUAUGAGUUUCUGCAUGUUUCAUAGAUCAUCUGCAGUGUAUAAAGGUUUUAGAACGAGGUUUUGUUUGAUAUGAGGUUUAUUACCGAUAUUGGGAUGUUUUGAGCAGCUACUAUGAUCGAACAUUUUGCUACGAGUAUGUGAGUCAUGUGGUAUGUCAUGUGAAUGCAUCUUAGGUUAUGGUUGUGGCUUGAUACAGCUUGUUCAUACUUAUACAAUAUGUAGAUGCGAAGUUCGGGUCUUGUAAGAACUUUCGGACAUUGGAAAUUGGAUUAUGUGGUUUACGGGCUAAGGUUGAAGUAAUGAUCUUCAGUUAUGUUGUGUUGUCGGGCCUAUAUGGAAUAGGGAGACGUGGGAUCACCCCCAGGUAUGUGCAAAAUGGGACCACAUCAGAAGUAUUCAAGGCUUAAACAAUAAAAAUAUAAAUAUAUGAAACCUCACCAUCAAUUUAUUAUACAAAUCGACAAAAACCCUAGCUUUAAUAUGUAGGACCAACAAGACAAGGACCACCACAAAUAAAAGUAAUAUAAAUAAAUCUAGAAAGGUAUAACAAAUAGCUCUGAUAACAUAAAAACAUCACAUGCAAAAGACAUAAACUUGUCAGUUUCCAAAUAUUCUCCAACCCUACAAUUUAGUAACUUAAAGUUGUAAACACUUACUUUAAUCGAAUGAUAUUGCAAGAUAGUGCUGGAAAUCAAAGUUGUUUAUGUUUUGUGCGCACCAAAUUGGAGCAAACCAUGAACCCUAAAGAAACCCUAAAAUCGCUAUUUGAUGGUUUAGAUAGAUGAAAUGAGAGAAAUGGUAAAACUGAGUGUUUUGUCGUUGGGUAUAAGGUAAAAGAACUGACCCACAUAAAAAAAAGUGGGUCGAAUCGAUUAAAUUGGUCAAAAUUUAUCCAAAUACAAUUUUUAGCCCUACUGAGCUUCGUGGCCAAAUGAAAGAAUGUCACAUCAUUUAAUGAGAGGCCCACAUGAAGUGUCGUUAGUCGCAAGGGCAAUUUUGACAAUAGAAUUAACGCCCUAUAUAUUUUCAGGCAAAUAAAUGGACGGGAGUUUUUUGUAAAGUAUUUAGCAUACGAUAGGAGUAUUUUAGGCUUUUUUCCCCUUAAAAAUGUAGGAUAGAUAUACUCACUUAAACAAAUUAAACAAGUAAAUUCUAUUCCGUAAUAGAAUGCAAGUGGUAGAUUUGCUAUGUAUCUAAAUAUAUUGCCCACUUUAAAGGGUAUGUUGGAUAAAUUUGGGAUUCAUGUGGGAUUGGAAUUUGGAUCAAGUUAAAUUUUCAAUUCAAAUUUACUAGUCUAAUUAAUCAAAUUCAUUCUGAUCCAGUCAACAAGUUGAUUGGCCUAACAUUUAAGGUUUUAGGAUUUCAGAUGAUUUUAGUAUUGCAAAAUUUAGUAGAUAUUUCGGGAAUGUGACGACAACAAAGAAAGUAACUAUGAGUCUAGAACCUAAAUGUUUCUUUUUUGGACUCAAAAUAUAUAAAUAGGUGGGGAAAAAACUUAGUGACCAAAGUAUAUAAAACGUCCUUUUGAACCACGUUUUACCUUAACAUCCAUUUGGGACGUUUUAUAUAAAACGCCUUUUGUAAAUACGUUUUACCUGAAGCUGAUUGGACAUUUAGUUAAAACGUGGUUCAAAAGGACAUUUUACAUAAAACGCCUUAAUAAACCAUGCCUCUUCAAAUACCGUCCCCUUCCCUUCCCCCACAUUCAAAAUCAGAACCCCCAUUUUAAAAUUAGAACAGCAAUCCCCCUCCCCCAAUUAAUGAGAUUAAAAACUCAAGUGGACCCCACCCGUCCCAUAAAAAGUAAAUAGUGUUGGCCCCACAUCCUAGCUAAGGCCUUCUUUCGUUGUGGUUGCUCGUUUGGACUAAAAUCUUCAAUUCUUCAACAUUCCAAAAAACAUAAAUCGAGGUACUCCGAUUUAAUUUUUGUCGAAACUCGUAUAAAAAAUGCAUAUUAGUUGUUUUACAUGUGUUCUAUGUUGUUUUGUAUUUUUUGCGAUUAAACUAGUAUGUUAUCUUUAUCCGAACUUAGAUAUUAGUGUGCUAAAAAAAAUAUGUAAAAAUUGAGAAAUCAUUAUUAUUUGUUAAAAAAUGUUAAUAAGUUUUUUUUACUGUUGUAUAUGUAUUUUCAUGAAUGUUUUGUAAUUAAAUGUAUUUGUUAUUUUUAUCUGGUUUAUAUUUUUUAUUUGCUUAAAGACCAGUAAUAUAGUAACCUUUUAGGGUAGUAAAAUAUAAUGCAUUUUAGCGUAGUAAAAUGUAGUGCAUUUAUCGUAACAAAAUAUAGUGCCUUUUAGCGUAGUUUCCUUGUAGUUUAAGUAUCUCUUAUACUCAAAUAUACGUCAAAAUAACUGAUAGAUCAAACAUAAACUCUAUCCAAUUAUAGUCAACAUAUAAUUGGUGUUAUUAAGCCACAAAUAUCAAGCCUGGAACCCAUAUGUGAAUAUUUAAUAAUUAAAUAUUGUAUAAUUAUAAAAAUUAAUUAUUUAAUUUACAAAAAAAACAUAUAAAAUUAUAAAACUAAUAUGUAAAAUAAUAAAACUAACACAAAGAAAAAUUCAGGAUAUCUUGGUGCUACUGGGCCUCAAAUAUUGAGUCUGGAACCCAUAUGUGAAUACGUAAUAAUUAAAUAUUUUAUAAUUAUAAAAAUUAAUUAUUUAAUUUACAAACAAACAUAUAAAAUUAUAAUAAAAUAACACAUACAAGAAUUCAGGAUAUCUUGGUACUACUGGGCCAUAAAUAUCGAGUCUAGAACCCAUAUGUAAAUAUUUAAUAAUUAAAUAUCGUAUAAUUAUAAAAAUUAAUUAUUUAAUUUACAAACAAACAUAAAAAAAUUAUAAAACUAACAUGUAAAAUAAUAAAACUAACACAUAGAAGAACUUAGGAUAUCUUGGUACUACUGGGCCUCAAAUAUCGAGCUUGGAACCCUUAUGUGAAUACAUAAUAAUUAAAUAUUGUAUAAUUAUAAAAAUUAAUUAUUUAAUUUACAAACAAACAUAUAAAAUUAUAAAACUAACAUGUAAGUAAUGUUGUUUAAUUUAUAGUAGACGACAUAGAGGUGCCACCUAUUCAUCCCAGACCUUCCAGCGAUGAGCUACUAUCGUUACAGGGCGAUCAUAGGUCCGCCCACAUAUGGGAGGGAGAGUUUACUGACCCAGACUCUCCGCGUCAGGAGAGUGCACGACAUGUGGGACUUUCUGCAUGACAGGGUUAUCCAUCCUUGUGUAGUCACACGCCUGCGGGAGAUGGGUUUCUACAGGAUUUUGGAGAUUGCGCGGCUGCAACUCGAUUGGUCUUUGGUCACGUUCCUGAUAGAGCGGUAGAGACCGGAGAGCACACAUUCCACCUGCCCAUUGGCGAGGCCACCAUCACACUGCUGGACAUGGAGGUUUUAUAUGGGAUACCAAUUGAUGGACACCUGUUGCUUUGCCGCAAGGCAUGAGAGAGAUGACAGGUAUGUAGUACCUGGACAUACUACAGCGACUCACUGCUUUCCAGCCACAGGAUGAGAAUGUACUGGCUGGGACCAGUCAUUUUUUGUUGACGACUAUUCGACAGUAUUUGGAGGCAUUGCAUCCUGACAUUGAUGGCGAUACAGCGGAUUAUCAUGUUCACCGGUAUAGAGGUUGUUGCUAGUCUGUAUGUUUGGAGGGGUCUUGUUCCCGAACACUUCGGGGAACCUGAACCUAGUCAGCUUGAGAUUUCUUCAUCAUCUUGAGCAGCUAGAUGAUUUACCCUAGUACAACUGGGGUGAUGCUAUUCUCGCCUACUUGUACAGGCAGAUGUUCCGGGCGAGCAUGGGCACCCAGAGUGAUGUUGUUGGAUUUUUGUCGCUANNNNNNNNNNNNNNNNNNNNNNNNNAAAAUUUUACGUCAACUUUUCAUGUUAGGUUUGGGCCUAGGAGUGGUUCCUGCAGUUGCAGUCACCUCUACCACCAUUAGAUCCGGAUGUACCACCUCUGUUGCUCCCUCUAGCUAGGAGGUGGGUUCUUCGGCGGGGACAUACGCACGAGUACGAGGCUCGGCAUAGUCUCUCCUUGUGCAGGGAUAUCUUGGAUUUGCUGGAGGGUGCACAGGUAAAUGUAUAUCUAAGUUUACUUGUCAUAGCUUCAUAUGUGUUGCGUAUACUCAUGUUUUCUUUUCUUACUUAAUAGUUCAUCUAGACGCCAUAUAGCGACGCGUUGAUAGCUGGCUCGCCCAAUUAUUUCUCGGUCGGCUGACCUAUGUAGGGCUCUUCCGUCCCGUUGAUCUGCGUUGAUAUUGUCGAGCAUCAUGCUACCGAGCGAGUACUUCACCAGUUUGCCCGUCCGUAGCUCGUACCGACACCGCCACCUAGCAUACCACACAUUACCAGCGGGAUGAUCGUUCCAGGUGGACGACGCAUAUUUGGUAUGGCUAGAGGAGCAAAUAUUUAUUUGGGACCAGCGAUUUGACCUGAUUCUGCCCCCCUUCACCUAGUCGCCCGGAUACUGAGCAUGAUUAUAUGGGCUGGUGUCACAGCAUUACCCGAAUUUUCAUGGGGAAUACCAUUCAUCGAGUUACCAAUCGGUACGUUCCAUACGUCGGGAGGCACGAGGCACCGGUAUGUUAUUUGGUAUUCUUACUUAAAACUAUGACCUAGCGUACUGUAAUUUAUAUUUUACAUGUUGUGCAGGCUAUUAGCCUACAUUUAUUCCACUAGUUGGGAUUGUAGAUGCAGCAGCAUGCAGGCGAGAGAGCGACCAUUUUGGACGAGUAUGGUCGGUAGGUUACAGAGCUGGAUGCCCGGACACUGUAGCGAGCAUGAGAGGACGAGCGCUUAGUGCACGUCCCUGCUUAUGAGGCACCAGAGCACUACCAUCGAGGUAGUCCUGUUCUACGAGGUAGGGGAGCACGAGGCAGGGCUGUCCCACGAGGUAGGGUUGUCCCAAGGAAUCGGGGGGCCGGCAUAAAGGUGGUCCCCAGCAAGGGGGCAUUGAGGCACCUAUUGAAGAUGUUGGAGCUGAUCUACUAGGUGACCUUCAUCAGCCAGACGAGCAUCACAGCAUCAUGCCGUCAUUCAGCCUUCAGCUGCCGAUCACUCCAGUGACUUCGCAGGUGACCCCGUCAGAUCCAUUGUUGAUUACGGGCACAAGCUUUACCGGAGAGGAUUUGGAUUAGACUUUCAAGACCCAUCGACCGCUGUUGAGGAUCGGCCGACCCGAGAUGUGGAUAGUGGGCGCCGGCUGAGUUAUGGCUCAUCAUCGAUGGGUGCUAGGGAUCUUUCACAGGCGCAGGUAUAUUUGUAUUACUAUUAAAUUUAAAUAUAUUUUUAUCUCAUUGAUUCACCAUAAAUAACUUUAUAAUUUUCUUAUUAAGGUUUCAUCCCCGCCCGUCACGGAAACCUCUUUGUGCGAUGCUGACCUCGAUGCGACAGGUACUUAUAUUCAAGAGCCCGACGAGACCAUGGUAAGACAAUUUAAAUUUAUUUUGACUUAACACGUACAUUGCUAAUAUAUAUUUUUAUAUACUUAGCUGACUUAUUCUUCUGUAGGUUGCUGAUGGACCGACGACCCCUUCUACCGAUCCUGCCAGCACUGCUGACGAUCAUGUUGUAGCGCAUCCUGCGAUAGAGAGGCAACGCGAUGAAGAUGAUCCUGAUAGCGUAUUCGGUCGGGAUGGGAUGCGCCUCAGGCCAGCGGUUGCAUUGAAGCACACAUGUUGUGGGAUACAUUGAUUUUUUUUUUUGUAUUUUAUGUAAAUAAUAACAAUAAUAUUUUAUGUUUACAUUAUAUGCGCGUUAUGUUUUUAUUUUUUCGUUUCUUCUUUAUUUUAAUACUACAAUACAAGCACAAACAUAGCAACUUAACAUAAUUUAAAUUCAGUACAACUAAUGAAAACACAUGACAUCGGAAAUAUAAAGAUAAAGUACUACACUCAACACAUACAUGCAAUUGUUUAGUCACGACCGCCUAUUAUUCUCUGCUCCAACCACUUAAAUUUCUCUUCCAGCUUAUUGCUUUCUUCUUCCGCCUCUUUUAGUUUCUCCUUCAACUCUGCAAUUUCUCAUUUAUAUUCUCGUUCAUAUUCCCACUAAUUUUUGGUCAAAUCAUGAUAAUACUGCAAAGACUUUUGUAGCAUUCCUGCUUACAGGGUUCAUCAAACCAUCCCUCAAAAUUACAAAAAUUUCCGUUGUUGCCUCUAAACCUGUUCACACACAUCCAGUAUAUGCGCCCAACUUGACCAUCAUCCCAACAGUCCACCAACAUAUAACAUUUGCCACAUUGGAACAUUGGUACAUAAAUGCAUUCAAACAUUUGUUAAAGCGGAAAAAACCCUGCUUUUAUGGAAAGUUUUGCUAUUUGUUAUGGUUAAGCGCAAAAAUAACUAGAAUGCACCCGUUAUUUAUAGGCAAGGCAACACACAUAACGUAGUAUUUAACCGCAGUAUGUUCAUACAUAACAUAGUAUUUAAUCGUGCUAUGCUUUGCGUGUUAAAGAUUCUUUCGGAUACAAAACAACUUUUCUGCAGGCGGAUAGCUUUUCAGAUCGACAAGACAACACACAAAACAUAAUAUUUAACCGUACUAUAUAUGCUCACACACAACGUAGUAUUUAACCGCGCUAUGCUUCGCGUGUUAAAGAUUCUUUCAGACACAAAAUAGCUUUUUCGCAGGUGGGCAGCUUUUCAUAUCGACAAGACAACACACAUAACGUAGUAUUUAACCGUGCUAUAUAUAUUCACAUAUUUAUCAAACAUCUUCUUCCUCUGACAGUAUAGUUUUCUAAUAAUUUUAGAGUGAAAUUCGAAAGUGAACGUAAAAAUUUUCUAUUUUUUAAUCCAAUACUAUUUUUUAUUACAUGAACGGGAGGGAGAAAUUAAUUAAUUUACUCAACUAAAAAAUAUUAAAUAUCAAUAAGAUUUAACAACAAUGGAAACAUAAUUUUAUUUGAUACAUCUUGCAACAUAAACAAGUACAUACACUUAUUACAACCACAUUACAAAAAUAAAGCACUACGUGUAUCCUUGAUAGUUGGGCACAUUAGAUGAACUUCCACUAGGAGCUAGCUUACCACCGCCACCCAAAUCAGCUGAAGGUCAUUUAUGAUGAUCGUGUCCUGUUUGCGAACAUAUGCCACAUUUACGCGCAUAAACGGUAUCACCAACAUCCAUUUGGUUUCGUAUACACGUUAUUUUUUGCACUUGUAGCUUACGCAAAUAGUCCUUGUUACACACCAUUUUAAAUGGUUCCGGAGGCCAAUAAUGCUCAGCACCCACUGGCUGUAACUGCCCACUAUAUGUGUUUAAGUAUGCAGCAACACUGUAUUGCCUAUCAACAUAGUUGGUUGGCCCUAAACCUAUAUGUUGAAAGAACUUGAUGGCAUGUGAGCACGGGAUGUGGUAGAUGGAUCAUUUCCCACAAGAACUCAACCUGUUGGCUUCAUUUAUGGUUUGUACAUUAUUCCCCCAGUGUUGAUGGAUAGUGGUGCGAACUUCAAAAUACCCUGGUUGUGAUCAUACUGUAAAAAUGAAUGCCAAUGUGCUCGCCUCCUGUAUUUGUCAAAUCUUUUCAUUGGUAUUGGCAUAAAUUCAACACCCCUCUCCAUUAAUUCCGAUGCACCUCUAUACCUUUCAACAAACCUCUCUAUCAUCUGUUUGAAUGACAUCCGCAUAACAGUGACAGGCAAUCCACGUGCAAACUUCAAAAACCUGUUGAAAGACUCUAACACAUUUGUAGUCAGGAUUCCCCAUCGUCUGCCACCAUCCGCAUGCAAUGUACACUUGUGAAGCUCAUGCCGCAUCAACCAAUGAUAGGCUCUUUCGUCUAACUGCCGGAUCAAUUCCAUGUGCCUCCUGAAUUUGCACUGUUGGUGAUCAGUUGCAGCCAUCUACAUUAAAUCUUGCAGGUCCUACAAUUGGCCUUCAGGUGCCUCACAUAGUAACGGUGGUAUGCAUAGGGUUCCUGUCAUUUAGGAAAAUGCUCUACAAAACUUAAUAUACCACCAUGCCGAUCAGUUAUUAGACAAAUACCUGAACAUUGUUUGAUAGCGUGCUACUUCAAGCGGUUCAAAAAUAGCAUCCACGUCUCUUGGAUUUUAUUGGCACAGAUGGCAAAAGCUAGUGGAAAUAUCUGUCCAUUGACAUCUACUGCAAUGGCGAUCAACAACUUAAUAUCAUACUUUCCAUAGACAUGAGUAUCGUCUAUGGAAAUUACCGGAUGGCAAUGCAGAAAACCAUCAAUUGCUGGUUUAAAUGCCUAGAAUAUGUAUCUGAAUAUAUAUUCUGGUAUUCCUGCACUCCGCUCAAGCUUUCAUUCAACAACAGUCCCAGGGUUAAAGUGUUUCAUCGCGGCCAUGUACCUGGGUAGAGAUGCAAAUGACUUAUCCCAGUUACCAUAAAUAAUUUCAGUUGCACGUUUGCGCCCAAGAUAUGCCCUUCUUUUGGUAAUAGUACACCCAUAUUCCUGGUGGAUGGAUGUAAUACACUCUUUGAUCUUGUACCUUAUGGACGCUUCAAUGUGUGGAAUCAGUUGAAGAGAAAUCAAGUCAACAUCCAAGUUGAAGUGAUUCCCAUUGAAUGUGUCCAUUUCACAGUUGUGGGUGCCAAUAUAUUUACCCACUUUCCAUAAUCAUAUUUCCUUUUUGCUCGCACGCAGCAUCCAAUGACAGCCUGUAAACCAUCUACACCAAGCAACCUUGUAUAGAUCCGGACUUGACUCCCAUAGAGUCAUCUCACGGCCUUCUCUUACGUUGUACAAUUUUGUCACCAUGCUUAGGCACACUUUAUCAGAACAAUGCAUGCCCUUUGCCAGCACCAUUGGUCUAGACUCAUCCCACAUUGCUGUCUAAAUUUCAUCAAAAUCCCUUGUGAGGGCAUCCAGAUCCGGCAUACUUGGCAAAUGAUCAAGGUAGGAAAUAUACCUUGAAUGAAACGGUACGUGGGACUCGUACACUUUUGGUCUAACGGGAGGUGGAGCAUGCUCCUUCGUCAAAUCAGGUUCGACAUUCUCUUCCCCCUCAUCAUCACCCUUGUCAAGGAAGGGUGUGUCAUCUCCAGACUCAUCGGCAUUGUUGUCAUAAUCACUAUUAUCUUCCUGACUCUACGCAUCUGCCAAAUCCCGAGUAAAUACGUCGUCUAUGGGCAACUGAGUGAGGACAGGACCAUCAAGUUGCUCUUUUUUACUGCACAAACAACAAAAUAAUAAGCUACUCAAAUUGAUAAAUACUUUACAUAUAGCUAUAUCACUUCACUUACAAGUCGUAAUGUGUUGACAUUCCAUGAUGGGCAUUAUCCUGUUGGUGAUGACUCCCGGAUGGACCACCGUGAUCCAACACACCAAAACUACGCAUAUUCCAACUGGGCGUGGGUUCAUAACUUGUAAAACUCAUAUCUGGAUGGUACCCCAUGUGGAAUAUAUGAGUGUUAAUACAAAUUCAAUACAACAAAAAUAAACAUCGUAAUACAAAGGAAAAUUGAAGUUUAUCAGUCAUCUUGUGGAUUAUGUAAAGUAGGAGAAAAAUUAUUUCCUCGAUCCUCAUUCGCCCGUGGAGAUAAGUUUAGAUUCGGCCAAACUCUUUCAAUCGGAACCUGUUCGGCUAAAACUGCUCCAGAAUAAUCACCCGAUGAUUAAGGGUUAUCCCUGCUUUGCGCAACCUCAUUAUUGCGAACGUCUUCAACCUUUAAGUACAUUUCUAACAUUUUUAUCAAAAUAAGUUCCCAGUAUUCAUCCGGAAUCCCCAAAAAAUCUCUCAGAGUUUCAUCAUCCUCGAUGUUAAACUCAGCAUAACAAGCAACCCCUUGCGGAGUAACAGAAUACAGAUAUCUUCCGGUUAUUUUAAGAUUCACUGAACGUUUGCUCAACCUCAUUUACAUAACAACGAUACCAGUCUAUCGUACUCCAUUGUAAGUGGCAACUUAACAUGACUCUGUGAAGAUAAACUAUAGCACACUGAGUUAUUCGCCACCACAACCUCACCCCCCUCCCCUCCCCCCAAAUAUAAUGAUACCCUUACUUUUCACUCUUCACACAUUAUGAAAAAAAGCUUGAGAAUUUAACAAGAAGAAAAUUUUAUCACGAAAUUGGAGUAUUUCUGAAUGAAUUUUGCAAAACCCUUAACGCCUUUAGAUAAGACAAUGCCCAAGCCGAGGAGGUCAAAUAUUUGGAAGUAAAACGCUUUUUAAAAGGGCGUUUUACCAAUUUGAGUUAUUGUUAUGUCAGUUAAGCGCAUAAGAGUUACUGGUGGGCCCACAAAACAGGUAAAACGUAUUUACAAAAGGCAUUUUAUAUAAAACGUCUUUUUAAAAGGCGUUGUACCUUAAUGUCCCAAACGAACGUUAAGGUAAAACGUGUUCAAAGGGACGUUUUAUAUACUUUGGUCACUAAGUUUUUUUUUACCUAUUUAUGUAUUAUAUAGGAUUGUUUAGUGUAAUUAACCCAUAAAUUAUUUAGAAGGAAUAACUCAAAAUGCAACUUAUAAAUCGUAUUCUAUGAAUGCGACCUAUAUAAAUUGUAUUCAGUGAUUACGACUUAUGAAUCUUCCAAGUAGAAUAUCAUUUGGGAAUCGGAAAAGGGCCAAAUAUAUCCUUCUACUUUCAAAUAUUGUUUACAUGUAGCUUUCGUUAUACUAUUGGGCUAUCUAUACCCCUACCGUCAUACUUUGUGGCAUUAUUGCCCUUAAUUUGGACGGAGUGCCAUGUGGCAGCUCCUGAAUAAAACUUCCCAUCUUAUUUUAUACCCGAUCCACUACCCACUUAAACCCUUAACCCGACCCAAUUAAAACCCAACCCACCUUAAAUUAUACGGAAGAAACACACACGAAAUACACCCUCUCCUUACCCUUCUCCCCUCGUUAAAACAGAUCCCCAAAUCCCAAAACUAGGGUUCCUCAUAUUUCAAUUUCAGGGUUCUUUCAGUUCGUUUAUGUGAUUCUUAAAGUCGCUCUUAUCUUAUUUCUUUUAAUUUUCCUUGGCAACAUUAUAUUUUAAUCUGCAAAGAAGUUGAUAAUGUCAGAAACUAGCUGCUCGUCCAAGAGGAAGUAUCAUUGCGGUGAAAUUGCUCACUUAUUCACUUCAAAAACUUCUUUUAACCCCGGAAGGAGAUUUUAUAAGUGUCCUAAGCCUGAAGUAAGUACUAUGAUUAAAUGUGUUAUUUCUUUUAUAUGAAAAGAUUUUUGGUUUCCCUCAUGGAUUUAAUAGUUGAUAAUUCGAAAUUCUAAUUAUUUUUUUUGGCAGGCCAAUUCUUGUGGAUAUUGAGAGUGACGUGACGAAGUAUUCCCCGAUAGAGCAUUGGUGGUGAUAAGUAAUCUAAAGGCUCAAUUGGAUGCAACUACGGUCAAAAUCAAUACUUUGAGUACGUCGUUGGAUGCGGUUAAGAUUGAAAGAGAUAAGUUAAAGGAAAAGGUGAAGACUAUGGAGGCUAUAAACAAUUCCCAAAUGAACAAAGCAAGGGAAUUAGAAGAGAAAUUUAUGAAGUUGAAGAUGUUUAUUAUGAUUUUUUGUGCGAUGUUUGUUGGAUUUAUUGUCGCAUUAUUGUUGAAGUGAUGUAGUUUGUUAGGUUGUAUGAAUUCUCAAGUCUUUGUUAUAUUAGUUUGAAGGCUGUAUUUUGAGUUCUCAAGUUAGGUUGUAUGAAAUCAGUGUUUUGAAGUUGUUUUGACUCCCAUAUCUUUAAUUUUGAGGCUGUUUUAAUUUGUGUUUUGCAUCAGUUUAAUCUAUGUUUGAAGGCUGUGUUUGAGGCUAUACACCAGAUGCUUACAAAUACACGUGCAUUCUAUAGGUUUUGGAUUAAUAAUGGGGGAUUGUAUUAAGGGGUGGAUGCAUAAUGUUGGGUUAUCUCAAAAAAUCUAGAAGCUACCUCAAAAUGCAUGAAAAAUGAUUGGCUUUAUACAGCGGAUGUAGCACUAAUGCACCCUGAUGGGUAAUUAGAAAUAAAAGACAGGUCAAAAGAUAUUAUUAUUAGUGGAGGUGAGAAUGUGAGUAGUGUGGAAGUAGAAUCAGUGCUUUAUUCCAACACUUUUGUCAAUGAGGCAGCAGUUGUGGCAAGGCCAGCAGUAAUGCACCCUGAAUCCCACAUAAAAUCUUUUUCAUGUAUAAUAAUUUAAAAGGUCUUUUUUUAAUACAUAGCUGAUUCUUUCUGUCAAACAAUGUUGAAAUUCAUUCAAAAAGUGCAUAAUGUUAAUGCAAUUUGUUGUACUAUUGUUUUACUUCUAUUUGUAAUCUUGUCGUGUAUGUAAGCAAAAUGUCCCACAUCUGUACGAGUGAUUGAUUUAAUUCUUUGCAAUAUGAAUUGACACUACAAAAGAGAACUUAAUAAAAUCUUUCAUUUGUAAUUUCUUUUGAUAGAAAUUUACCCCAUCAUAUGUCUUACGAGAUAUCAACAUCAAAGGUUGAUUUAGCUACUGAUUUAUAGGUGCUAUUGGUAUGUAUUCAAUCAUACCUCUAAAAAUGCUACUUCCAGCAGACCAUAUUGGUAUGUAUUCAAUCAUACUAAAGCAUCUUCAAUUCAAGUAGACCAAAUUUACAUAGUACUGUUAGACCAAAUUAACCAAAGUAGUAAAUAAGCAGUCCAGAAGCUGCUAGUCCAAAACCUAAUCAGUAAUUAACCAAAAGAGUAUUGUCAUAUGCAGUAAUUACAAAAGAGUACUGUCAUAAGCAGUAAAUACAUCACCAAAUUAACCAACCAAAACACAAACUAGUGCAAAUUAACCAAAAGAGUACUGUCAUAAACAGUAGUUACAAAAUAAAAGUCUUAAACAGUAAUAAACUACUGAAAAUGUCCCUUCUUAGCUUCAACUUUCCAAUCCUUUUUUGACGUUCAACUUCCAAUUGAUUUGUAGUCAUAGCAGCUUUGCCCUUCCACAUUAAGUUGUCUGGUGUAUAUGGAAGAUUUGUUGGAAUACUAGCUCCUGUAUGGUCACCUCUGAAGCUAAUUUGCCUGGUCCCAGUUGGUAUAAGUUUUUACUACCCCUUUGGAGUCUAGUAAGUAUUUCUGAGAUAACCAUGGGCCUUAAAUCAGGGUCUGCCUCAUGCUCAUGCUCAGAGCAGGGGUUCUCAAAGUCUGGAAAUGAACCCCUACUGUUUUGCAAUCCUGGAGUAUGCAUGAAUACACAAGUGUUGCUUUGGCUAUCUUGUGAGUGUUGGGGGGCUGAUAGAUUAAUGUCUUCUUCGAUUGGACCCACCUCUUCUUCAUCAUUUAAACCCCCGGUAGGCUGUUGCUUCUUUUUUACUUUAAAUACUACUUUUUUUUGUUUUUGGCUGUUUUGGUUGUUUUGGCUGCCACAUAGUAAAUUCAAUUAGUAAAAAGUUUGAAAAAGUUAAUAAAAUUUGAAUGACUAGAAGUUACCUUGUCACAUCCUCGAGCAUUGUGAUUUGGCUCUCCACAAUUACUACAAGUCAUUACUCUACCUUUCCUUGAAAGAGACCAUUCUCCUUGCCUCUUAAAUGCCUCUUCUUUCUGUCUGUCUCUCUUAACCUUAGGCCUUCCAGCUAGCUUGACCAACUCUGGAGGUUCCAUUUCUUGAGAAGGGUCAACUUUCCGGAAUUUCUCUCCCCUUACAGGUUGCAACUUAUAUUUAUAUGUUAGCAAGAAUGCUUCCUUGCUAUGGAACCAAUGCAUUUCAGUAAGAGGAUCAAUCCUCUUGUACAAUAAGGCCUUAAUUGCAUGUGGGCAUGGAAUUCCAGUGAGGUCCCAUGCCCUACAAGUGCACCUUUUUAUUCUCAGAUUCACAAUAUGCUUGUCAGACCCUUCUGAUACCUCAAAUCCAUUAUCCCCAUUGGAAUCAACUCACAAACUUGGGCUAUCUUCAUAUAUUCAUUGUAUAGCUUCAUUGUUUUAGGACUGAAUUCACCACUCCAUUUAGUCACAGAAUCUUCAUGUUCUCUCAAUUGAUUCAUCACUUUGAUCCUUAUACCUUCACCCAUCUGGAGUUCCAAUGAAUGUUGCAAUAGCCCUAAGAACCAAUUCCAAGUUCUUUUUAUCUCUUUAUCUACAAUUGCCCAAGCUAAAGGAUAAAAGUGGUUCAUAUUAUCUUGACCAACAGCUACCAGUAAUUGUCCCUUGGCUUUUCCCUUAAGAAAUGUGCCAUCUAAUCCAAUGAAGGGUUUCAAACCUUCCUUAAAUCCCAUCUUCAUUGCCUUGAAGCAAAUAUACAUUCUAAGAAAUUUUCUUUUCCCUCCUCUUUAGACAGAUUGAUUACAACAUCACUUUCCGGAUUUGAGUUUCUAAGUUCAUUGGCAUAAGCCUCUAAUUUCUUGUAACCAUCUGUAAAGCUCCCCUUUAAAAUUUCCAAAACCAUCCUUUUAGCUCUCUUGCACUUUCCUUUACUGGCAUUUAACUCAAAAGCUUCUUUUAAAUCAGUCCUCAUUUCCUUUACCUUAAACUUUGGAUUAUCUUGUAAUUUUUUCUUGAAAUAAUGAGCUAUAGUAGUGUAAUCAACCAUAGAGUUGUCAUAUGAUGGAUCACACUCAUGUUCAGGAUUUAGAGUUUUGAUUUUCACUCCAGGAGAACCUUUUUCCUCAUAUAUAUGACGUACAAAUGGACACCCUGGAAUACAUUCAUAUCUCAACCUUAGCUUAUCACUUUUAACAACCUCUAACUCGACCUUAUUGGCCAAAGAAUAAAGGCGAAAUGGCUUCCUGGCGACUUAAACUUGCCGGGUUUUUUAAAGCCGAUACAUAAACUUAUAACUUUCCCAUUUGAACACUCGAACUCGUUUUUUCCAUAACUAAUAAACACAUUUGACCAUUGAUCAUGUGGCGUCAGUUGGUCCUAAUCAGCAGCGUGAGGAACACGACGCACAGGAGCGUAAAACCCCCUUCCCAACGCCCAACAGUACAAAAUACCCCCUUCCUCCAUUUUUAAAAAUCUGAAGCUCCAUUUCCAAUUUUUUUUUUCAUUUUUCAGACCGUGAAAAUGGUGGAAAGUUGUAUAUUUUGUCAUUGUAGAGUUGAAGCUAAGUUUUGAACUUCCCCAUAACUUCCCCUUCCAAGUUCGUUGAUUGAAAUCCUUCAAAAGCUUUCCGUACUCCUUCUGGAUGUUCAAGGUGAUGGUAACAGCCCUGUGGAGGAACUCGGCAAUCUGCUCGAAGUCCUUCUCAACCAAUCCCCUUGAUGUCAUUGCAGGAGUACCUGUAAAUGAGAACUUCAGUUAGUUAAAAAUGUCUAAUGAAGGACCUUAACAUUAUGCGUAGAAGAAGAGAUUAUGGGGGAUUUCAAGUUUCAAUAAGGAGGGCCUUCAGAUUCUCUCUGAAAUUAUACGUAAGGUUGGCUUCUGCUUUUGUAUAGAAAUAGAUUAAUUGAACUAAAACAUUUAGAAAAUUACGAAACUGAACCACGACAAACCUCCAAACAGCAACCUCGGCUUUUGAUUGAGGAAGAAAAUUGAUUAGGUGGAGUGUUGUGUGGUGAAGGGAAGAAAAAGGAGCAGAGAUAGGCGUAGCAGAGAUAGGCGUCGCAGAGAUAGGCGUAGCAGAGAUAGGCGUUCUUCUGUUGCUAGGGGUGUUGGAAUUAGCUUGAAAUGGUUGAUGAAGAACGCUAAAGCAAUCAAAGAGAAGGAGUUGUUGCUUGACUUUUCGCGCCCUUACGUGUAAGACAUCCAUUGGUCAUUUGCUGACUAGAUGGACACGAAUGUGUAUGUGUAAUACACGCGCACAUGGUCAAUGGUUAAUGGUCAGAUGUGUUUAUUAGUUAUGGAAAAAACGAGUUCGAGUGUUCAAAAGGGAAAGUUAUAAGUUUAUGUAUCGGCUUUGAAAAACCCGACAAGUUUAAGUAACUAGAAAGCCAUUUCGCCAAGAAUAAAGUUUAAUAAACUUCCUUGCUUCUCAAGGACAUACCCUUAAAUAAUUCUUUGUAAUCUUCUAGACCCACAAUAAUCUCUUUUCUUUUGAGUAGCAAUUGACUCCACUUCUUCAGAGUCAUAUUCUGGACAAUUAGAACCAGCUUCAUGGUCACUCUCACUGUCACUACAAUCAGUACCAACCUCAUUAACUACAGGAAAAAAUGAUUCAAUAUGUUGGACAAUAUUGGGAACUUCUACAGAAGGCUCACAUUCAUCUACUGCAUAUAUGUUAAUGAUACGAUACUCUUCAGAAACAAGGGACAAUAACUUCCUAAUCCCAUCAUCCCCCUCUAUUUCAUAAUAUUUUCCAGAAGGAGCAGCUACAAUAAGCUGCUGAAUACCUACAAAUCCUAACUCUGUAGUGUACUCAUUUACUAUGUCAAUAAAAGAUAAAAGAUCAGAAUCAUACCCCGGCCAAGUGUGAACCAAUUUCUUAGAGUAUAGUAGAUGUGGUUCUCUUAUCCAAUCACCACCAUGAUGGAAGAGUAAAUCAACUUUAACUAUUUUAUACCCUGCAAACAUUUGAGGGGACCACUUAUCAAAAUAAUUUUCAAGUUGCAGUAAAGAAUAAAAAAUACAACUAGUCGGUCCUACUUAAAAGGGACAACAAAAUAUAAAACAUGAAAAGGGACCACAUUGUCCUACUUAAAAAAUAAAAAAUGAGAGCAUACAUGAGGACUAAAAUAAUUAAAAACACUGUUAAAUAAUUAAAAACAGAAAAGGGGCAGCACUGUUAUAGACGAAAAACACAAAACGACAGAUGAAGAAUAAAAUACACGAUGCCCUAUUAAACUAAACCAUACAUCUCUGAAAUUCAACAUCACCAAAUUUCUAAACCCCAAAAUUAUCCAGAGCCCAAAAAAAUCCAAAAGGACCACCACUUAGAAGCACACAUGCAAAUAAAAUUUAACAUUAAACCUACACAAUAACACCAUAAAUAUAUACAUAUACAUGUAUAUUGUCGAUUUGAACCAACACUUAAAACCCUAGACUAAAAAAAAGUUUCUGAAAUUCAUAGAUGACUUAGUUGUAAACCCUAAAAAAAUCUUAAAUAAUUUAGAAACAUAUUUACCUUCUAAAUAAACUUAAACAAAUAUUUAAUCAAAGAAAAUUUGUACCUUGGUUGUACAGCAGAACUAUGAAGCAGAUGACAUUGAGGAACCCUAGUUUUAGGAUUUGGGGAUCUGUUUUAACGAGGGGAGAAGGGUAAUUAGAAGGUGUAUUUCGUGUGUGUUUCUUCCGUAUAAUUUAAGGUGGGUUGGGUUUUAAUUGGGUCGGGUUAGGGGUUUAAGUGGGUAGCGGAUCAGGUAUAAAAUAAGAUGGGAAGUUUCAUUUCGGAGCUGCCACGUGCCACUUCGUCCAAAUUAAGGGCAAUAAUGCUAUAAAGUAUGACGGCAGGGGCAAUAAUGACACAGUAGGGGUAUAGAUAGCGUAUAACAUAUAAAGAAUAUUUGAAAGUAAAGUUAUAUUUAGCCAUUUUGGCUUUUGCCUUUGGUAAUUCAAACACACUUUCCCCUCAUUUUUUAUUUUUUUUUGGGUAACAGAAGUGAGAGAGAAUUGGGUGAGAGAAAGAGAAAGUAAACAGAGGAGCUUCACCUAGAAAAUCCUACGGAAAAAUCAGCCAUUCCGAUUGCAUUACUGUAGAAGAAAGUUUACCAAAAGUCAUUUGGUAAGUUGAAUUAACAGCUUUGAUCGACACUCUACUCAUCAAAAACCCUAAACCCCUCAUUUCGUCCGAUUAUGCUGGGUGUUCGUAGAAAAUUGUGCCAAUUUAGUAGACAAGUUCACACGUUAUCUCGUGAUCGCCCUAGUGAAACCUUAAAGAUGAAUCUUGCUAGAUUGAAGGAGAAGAAGAAACAAAAAGAUCCUCGUAAGAACCAAUUAUUUGUUCAAGUUCCAGAAUCAAGAGCAUGGCUUGACACUGCUACUAUGCCAAUGAUACUCACUGUCGUUGGUACCGCACUUUUUGCUAAACUCCUCAUGAUGGUAUGUAUUAUAUUUAGGGUGUGUUGCACUUUGUUACUGUACUGUCUCAAGUCGAAAAUGGGAUGGUUCUAUUGCAGUUUAGAUCCUAUUUUAGUAUGAAUUUCAUUUUUGCGCACUGACGGUGUAUAAUAUUUUUACACGAUCGGGUUAAUUUGACCCACUAUGAUAGGUAACACUUCAUAGCAAGCCUGAUAUAGUAACCUACCGGAGGCAAAAAACACUAGGUGAUUUAUUCCCAUCUCCAAGCCUUGAUGGGCAGAGUUAUUCGAUACCUGUGUUGGUGGGAGGUAGCAGGUACGUUGGAAUAGUCGAGGUGCGUGUCAGCUGGUAUGGACACCACCAUCAUAAAAAUGGUUCAUGCACUGAUAGUGUAUAGAUUUUAUACACGAUCAUGUUAGUUUGACCUGCAUUAAUAGGUACUCUUUAUAGAAAAGCUGAUAUAGUAACCUAGAAAAUAAAAUUAGAAGUAAGAACCUAUUAUAACCAGUUAAAUUGAACUGAUAGUUUAAAUAUUCUUUACGUUGUCAGUGUAUAACUUAUAGCCUUUUAGUAUUUGGCUGAAAUAUGAAUGACCUUGAAAAUGGACGAAGCAUUAACUUAUUCAUUUGUUGGUUAUGAUUCUGGUGAAUGCAAUAGUGAGUAGAAGGGAAGCUUGGGGAUAGUGAUAGUUGAAAUAGUUCAAUGUUGCUUCAUACUUGGAGUGAUGUAAAUAAAUUGACGUUGUUUCGUUGAUGAUCAUAUUCUUAACAGGAGAACUUCUUUAGUACUGUACCUUACCAAAGAAACCGAACUUAAUAGUAGAACUACUUUAAUACUGUAAAAUAUCUUUGGUUUUGAAUACAACAACAACUACACCACAGUCCUAAACAAGUUGGGGUCGGUUAUAACGUUGGGGUUGGUUUGAAUAGAUGCUGUUUAUUUUUAUUACAUUUGUUAGUGAGCUUAAACGGAAUCUUGUUGAUAUUGAUUGAGGAGUUUGAUGGAAUUGAGCUGACUGCAUCCACAAACCUCAAAUGGUGCUUUUGUAAUUUUACUCUAAAGGUAGGAACACGGGGGACUUGCACUAAGCACUUAGAUUUUUCAAUUCCUUGGCAUAAUAAACUUGCUUGUACAUUUUUACAAUCUAUAUCAGCUGGGUAGCAGGCAGCUUAUAAGCUACAGUUGUGUUUGCAUGCAGUAUGAUGACUCGAAGUCUCAAGAAAUGAUAGAGCGAAAAAUAAAGAAUGCGCCUGAUGGUCAAGGGUCAGUUAGGAUGCUUACACGUGAAGAAUGGGAAUCAGUUCAAGACGUGCGACCAAGAACUCCAUUUGAAUCUAAACUGGCUCGUCCAAAUGCAAGGCUAAGGACAGGGGAAGCUUUGAAGAUGGUAAGUGCAUUACUUCUUUAGUCUUUCAUUCAUCUGGUGGUGGGUACUUUUCCUGCUAACAUUCUAGGGAACAAACUAAGUGGGUCAGAAAGCUUCCUACAGUUGUGAGACUUUCAUUCGAUAAGUGGGAAUGCAGUUUCUAGCAGAAUAUCAUAGUCACAAUGACUAUUAAUGGCGUCAUAGUAUUUAGAGAUCUAUCAUUAUGGUCACAUCGGUUGCCUGUUGGCCUAGAACUAUGCAUGUCUACCUUGUGCCUGAUUAGGUUCACUUUUCAUCUUUUUAUGGACAGAGAAUGUUUUGAUAAGCUUGGGAAUGAAAAUAAAGGGGAGUUCUAGGUGUUCAACAUCCCCAUGUCCUUAGAAAACGGAAUAAGAGAAACUGCUUUCAUUGUGGAUUUUGGUGUUUUCAUUCUCAUGGACCAACAGGAUUAACUUUGUUCUGAGUUUGCUUUUCAAAUUGGACUUUCCUUGUUCAUUUGGAUGCUAAUAUUUCUUCUCUUUUUCUUUCUCCAGUUAAGAAUGUCAAUAUAAAAAAAUUAUAAAUAUGACAAGAAUUGGUACCUCGUAAAUAUGGGAAAAGCUUGGACUGCCUGUAAUUGUCUAAUUAGGAAUAUGUUUCCCCUUUUUUAUAUCACUUGUAAAUGUUAUUUAAAGCUCAACAUGCUUGAGUGAAAUAAUCAAGCACUUCAUUCUCCUAUUCUUUACAUGGUAUUGGAGCCAAGGAUUUGAGUUCACUCUUGAAAAAUUCUUCUCCCCUUUUCUGUUUCCAGAAAGGAAAAAAGAAAAGAGAAAGAAAGGAAAUCUCAAUCGACAAGUAUUGCGUCUCAACUCCCUCCUAGAAAGGCUACCCAGUCGCUAGUGACCCCAACCUCAACAGCCCAGCGCUAGAUGCUUCAUGCAUGUAUCUCACUUGCCAUCCAUCACUUUCACCAGAAUUUCACGUGCCGGCGCGUGGGUCGCUUUCCAGUGACCUUCCAACUGCCAGUGUAUCAAGGUCGACCAAGUCCGUAGCUUCAUCUUCUCUUCUCACUUUCUAUUGCCUUUGACUUUCUUUCCUAAUUCCCUUUUCUUUCUGUAUACCCAUACUAGUCCAAAUAUUUCUGUUGCUGAGCUAGCCUUGUUUCUUUCCUUUCUAACUGCUUUAUCCUCAGUCCUCACUGAUCAGAUCUUCCUUUUAUCGUAAUCACAAUUUCCUAAUGUUGACAUUCUUAAUAUCCGCAAUCCUCGAAUACAAUUUGAUUGGAAUGUUAAAUGUCUAGCUCUUCUUAAAUUUUGGCCAAAAAUAUUGAAAAUGAUAAUAUAUAUAUCUAUUUUUGGAAGUAGUGAACAUCUAAAGGCAGACAGCUAUUAAGGCCUUUAUGGGGGGUCAAUUGGAGAACUCUCAGCUAUAUAUUUUAAACUUGGAAGUUUAAAUGCCUGGUAAAACAUUACAAAUGUAGUUUGGAAAAUAAAAGUUAAACAAAAACCGGAAGUCUGGAAAUAUAUAUUAAAUAACCAAUGAGACCUUCAUUUUCUAACUGAACUUCUCUAGUUUGGUUAGGCGUCAAGAUUCUGUUGGGUUAGGAUUAGCGCAAUUCUUUUGGUAUGUCUUAUUUGGAAACUUGGUCGCAAGAUCGCACAGGACCAUCUGUUUAAAUAAUUAUGCGAUGGUGACUUCGACAUGAUUGUACUCAUUUUCCGAUCUUUUUGUUAUCUCUUCUGAUACCUUUAAUUAUUUCCCCAAUAUUCAUGCUGAUUCAGUUGCAUGACAAAAUUUUGAAUGACUAUGCUGUUUGUUUGAUCGCUUAUAUGCAGGAAGAUGUCAAGGAUUGGACGAUAGAUGUUAUAAACGAUGCACUAACACGAGCUGAAGAAUGUGCUAAACGAGGAUCUAACUAGCUUUGAAGUAAUAAUAUUAGUAUCCUAUUUCAACCGGAGCUGCUUCUUUGUAGCAGAAAAUCUCUUCAAUCUCAGAUGUCCAUCUUGACAUGCCAUCCUUUAUUAGCAAAAGUGAAGUAGAGUUGCCUCUCUUACCGGAUGUCUAGCUUAUGCUGGCUGAAAUCUGUGCAAAAUUCCAUAGUAGUGUACUCCAUUGUGUUGUGAUAGUUUCUUUUUUACGUGAUUGGAAAUGGCAAACUUUGGUCAAUAUACUGAAAACAUUUUCCUUUGAAUAACGUGCCAGAAAAUAUUGGUCUAAGAAGCCUCUCUUUUGUGAUUGCUUCUAGUUAUCUUCUCGAGUAUAGUUGGAAAUAGUGGAAAAGUGCUAAUUCUUGGUUGGAAAUUUGGUUUUCGGUUAAAGUGUGUUCCAACUGGUACAAAAGUCUGGAACUUCUUGUAUUUUCAUUGUUUAUGAGUCGAGCGUCUAUCAAAAAUAGUCUCUCUACCUUCAUAAGAUAGAGGUAAGGUCUGGGUCUAUCGAAAACAGUCUCUCUACCUUCAUAAGAUAUAGGUAAGGUCUACGUACAGACUACUCUAUUCUAUUGGGUUUGUUGUUGUUGUAUGAAAAGUACUCUCCUGUUGCUUGAGAAAAUUCGUUUCAUUUCUUCUUGAGCAACAGGUGCACUAAUACUGUUACAUCUGCAUUAAUAAAAAUAUUGGAUGUCAAUCUUAAUUAACCAGUUCUUAGCUGUGAUGGAGAAGAGAGUACAUACGUAAAUAUUAUAGCCCGAGUAAUCUCAUGUGCACGGUUUGUAAUGUUGGCUAUAGGAUUGACUCAUUCGGUAAUUGUAACAUCACACUAAUAUCUGAGACAGGAGAAAUGACUUCGCCCAAUUUCAGCACUGAAAAUGCCAGAAUAACACGAUUUCACCCGCUUUUAAUGAUGGUAGUAGUAUUAUUUAAUGAGGAAAAUGCGACAGUUAUGGGAAUAACUCAAAUAUUACAUUAUCUAUGCAGUAUUUUUUCUUAUAUGGCCAAUAGACACUAAUAUAUUAUUUUAUGCUAAAGUUUAUGUUUUAUGCCAAUUAGGGGUGGCAAUUUGAGCUCAAACCCAUUCAACCCGCCUUACCCGCCCAGAAAUUAAUGGGUUGGGCUAUAAAUAUUUUAGCUCAUGAGUCAAUUUGGGUUGAGCCCAAGUUAACCCAUUAUUUUUUAUAAUUCAUUCUGAUCCAUUAAGCAGCUCAAAUACAAUCUAUAAAAUUCACCCAAAACAAAGGGAUCUCAACCCAACUUAUCUAGAAAUUUACUUAGUUGCUCCAAUUUUACUUUUUUUUUAUUUAUAUUUUCAAUUUUCUGUUCUUUUAUUUUUCUGCACCACCCACUCACCCUACCCCCUACCCCCGAAAUUUUUUUUUGUAUUUUCAAUUUUCAGUUUUUUUGUUUUUCUGCACCACCNNNNNNNNNNNNNNNNNNNNNNNNNNNNNNNNNNNNNNNNNNNNNNNNNNNNNNNNNNNNNNNNNNNNNNNNNNNNNNNNNNNNNNNNNNNNNNNNNNNNNNNNNNNNNNNNNNNNNNNNNNNNNNNNNNNNNNNNNNNNNNNNNNNNNNNNNNNNNNNNNNNNNNNNNNNNNNNNNNNNNNNNNNNNNNNNNNNNNNNNNNNNNNNNNNNNNNNNNNNNNNNNNNNNNNNNNNNNNNNNNNNNNNNNNNNNNNNNNNNNNNNNNNNNNNNNNNNNNNNNNNNNNNNNNNNNNNNNNNNNNNNNNNNNNNNNNNNNNNNNNNNNNNNNNNNNNNNNNNNNNNNNNNNNNNNNNNNNNNNNNNNNNNNNNNNNNNNNNNNNNNNNNNNNNNNNNNNNNNNNNNNNNNNNNNNNNNNNNNNNNNNNNNNNNNNNNNNNNNNNNNNNNNNNNNNNNNNNNNNNNNNNNNNNNNNNNNNNNNNNNNNNNNNNNNNNNNNNNNNNNNNNNNNNNNNNNNNNNNNNNNNNNNNNNNNNNNNNNNNNNNNNNNNNNNNNNNNNNNNNNNNNNNNNNNNNNNNNNNNNNNNNNNNNNNNNNNNNNNNNNNNNNNNNNNNNNNNNNNNNNNNNNNNNNNNNNNNNNNNNNNNNNNNNNNNNNNNNNNNNNNNNNNNNNNNNNNNNNNNNNNNNNNNNNNNNNNNNNNNNNNNNNNNNNNNNNNNNNNNNNNNNNNNNNNNNNNNNNNNNNNNNNNNNNNNNNNNNNNNNNNNNNNNNNNNNNNNNNNNNNNNNNNNNNNNNNNNNNNNNNNNNNNNNNNNNNNNNNNNNNNNNNNNNNNNNNNNNNNNNNNNNNNNNNNNNNNNNNNNNNNNNNNNNNNNNNNNNNNNNNNNNNNNNNNNNNNNNNNNNNNNNNNNNNNNNNNNNNNNNNNNNNNNNNNNNNNNNNNNNNNNNNNNNNNNNNNNNNNNNNNNNNNNNNNNNNNNNNNNNNNNNNNNNNNNNNNNNNNNNNNNNNNNNNNNNNNNNNNNNNNNNNNNNNNNNNNNNNNNNNNNNNNNNNNNNNNNNNNNNNNNNNNNNNNNNNNNNNNNNNNNNNNNNNNNNNNNNNNNNNNNNNNNNNNNNNNNNNNNNNNNNNNNNNNNNNNNNNNNNNNNNNNNNNNNNNNNNNNNNNNNNNNNNNNNNNNNNNNNNNNNNNNNNNNNNNNNNNNNNNNNNNNNNNNNNNNNNNNNNNNNNNNNNNNNNNNNNNNNNNNNNNNNNNNNNNNNNNNNNNNNNNNNNNNNNNNNNNNNNNNNNNNNNNNNNNNNNNNNNNNNNNNNNNNNNNNNNNNNNNNNNNNNNNNNNNNNNNNNNNNNNNNNNNNNNNNNNNNNNNNNNNNNNNNNNNNNNNNNNNNNNNNNNNNNNNNNNNNNNNNNNNNNNNNNNNNNNNNNNNNNNNNNNNNNNNNNNNNNNNNNNNNNNNNNNNNNNNNNNNNNNNNNNNNNNNNNNNNNNNNNNNNNNNNNNNNNNNNNNNNNNNNNNNNNNNNNNNNNNNNNNNNNNNNNNNNNNNNNNNNNNNNNNNNNNNNNNNNNNNNNNNNNNNNNUUUUUUUGUUUUUCUGCACCACCCACCCACCCCAAUUCCCACCCGCAAAAUAUUUUUCAACUUACACAUUUUAAGGUAAAAGGUUUUUUUUUAUGCAAGAUGAGCAUGGUUCUAAAACAUGGGUCAAGUUGGACGGGUUGGGUUAUGACCCAUUGUUUAACCCAUCUUUACCUAGCUCAUCUUAGCCCAAGUACACUUUGGGUUGGGUUGGGCAAUGAUCCAUUGAUCUAACCCAUUUUGACCCGCCGAAAUUCAGCCUAACCCGCCCAUUUGCCACCCCUAAUGCCAAUACACUCGAUUAAACCACCCUAAUGUAUUGCUUUGCAUUUGGAGUUGCCUUUUGUAUGAAACACUUUAUCUUUAGAGGGGGACUCUUCCAUGCAAAUCUAAGAGUCAGACACUUCGAUGCAAAUCUAAAUUAAUCUGUCUCUGGUGCAAAUAUCUAACAUGGGGUUGGAACCGCCUAAAUAUUUACCAUUUUGCCCCUCCAUCCCAGUUUAUGUCUUAUGUUUUCUUUUUUAGUUGUCUCAAAAAGAAUGUCAUAGAAAUAAUUCACCAUUAAACUUUCUACUUUAUCGAUAAUUUAUAGUCACAUAAAUUUUUAUGAUUUAUUUUAGACCACCAGCUUUAUGCUCCCAUUUAGCCAUAGAUUUUGGCUGUUUUUUUUUUCAACAAAAAUUUUGAAAAAUAUUGUUUGUUCAUAGAAUAUGAUCAGUUUUUGAAAAUUUUAAGUUCCCAAAACUGGUUUAGUACAGUUUUUUGGUAAAAAUUUUUGUUCCACUCACAAAACUUCAAAAAAAAUUCAUAUUCAAAUAUAACUUCAACUUUUAAAAAUUAUUUUUUAACACAAUUUCAAAAACUCUUUUUUCAAGAUUUAACCAAAUUUAUGUCUAAAUGCUAAAAGUCUUUCAUAAACUCUGUGCCGAAUCAAAUAAUAAUUUGAGACGAAAGGAGUAUUUUUUUUCCUAUUCUCCUCGUAAGCUGAGUAGAGAUUCAGAAUAUCCUACUCUUACGGCUUGUUUGGAUGGUUGUUACUCAUUGUGUCGUAUUGUAUUCUUAUCCCAAAAUAAUGUUUGUUUUGAUUAUUUAUUUAAAAUUGAAUAUAUCGUAUUGUUAAAUUUAUUGUUCUGGAACAACCAAAAACCUCAUUUUAUGAAACAACCGAUUUGGUGUGGUGUGAUCGUUUCCUAUUUUCUUUUUUAAUUAUGCCCUUACUUACUCCAUAAUUCUAUUUUAUCAUUUAAUUUUUUUAUUUUAACUCCAAAUUUCUAACAUAUUGACCUACUUUGUCUUCUUCCAUCUUUUCUAGAGUUGAUUUGCCCCGUUCUUUAUUAUUCAAGUCUCCGUUUGAUUCUUUGUCUCUUUUCAUCGUUCUAAUUUUUUUUUGUUGCUAAUAUUAGAUAACCUUUUGUUUAGGUUUUUGCUCUUGUUUCCAAGCUACUUAACUAAUGAUAAAUUAGUAGAAAGAGGUUUUCUUAAAUUAUUUUUAUGUAUAAUUCUUGAUAAAUUUUAUUUAAAAUAGUUGUGGGUAUUUUAGUGAACUUAUUUGUUAUAAUAUUAUACGAUACAGUUAAACCAAACACCAAAAAUGUUACUCCCUUCGUUUCAAUUUAGAGAAACUUUCAGAAACCACUAUGUUUUAGUGGUUAUUAGCUAGUUGUAGCUACCAUUUAUUAUAUUACUUCCUAUAGCUAUGUUUUCAGGUUUUUUAGAGUGUAUUCGAUGUAUUUAAGCUACUGUAUUUAUGAAUAUUGUAGCAUUUCUACGCGUGAAAUAGGGGAUUACAGCUAGACAUAUUUUUGUAUUCAACUAUAUUCACGGCAUGAAACAGGGGAUUACAGCUAGACAGAUUAUUGUAUUCGACUGUAUUCACGAUAUGUAUUUGUGAAUACAGUAACGUAAAUAGCGCAAUUCAUGCCCUAUUCAGCUUUUUUUAAACGGAAAGUGAAUCAAUUAACAUAAUAGACUCCUCAACAAACUCAAUUAUAACACACAAAAUUUGUAUUUUGUUAUAAAUAGAGUUUUAUUUAAGGUGAAUGUCUAUAUUUUAGAGAGAUUGUAGGGAUUUUACUUGGUGGUUAAGUCAUUCUCUCCCUAUGAAUAGAGGGGUCAUAUUCCAUUUAAAUCAUCCCAAAUCAAUAACAAUUCUCUCUCUACUUUUCUCUGUAAUUCUUUUCUUCUUCUUUUAUAAUUUUAUAACACGUUAUUAGCACGAGACUCUAACCAACUGAGUAGAAGCUUUGGGAUUGAGCAUAAGGAUUGUCAAUUGUUCCAUGAACUUCCUUCAUGAUUAAAUUCUGGAUUUAAGGUAAGUAUUUUACUUUAUUUUUCUCUUUUAAAUUCUUGACAUUCUAUAAUUUGAUUUUAAAUACAACCAAAGACGAUAAAUUUUGAACUCUAAUGGAGUUUGAAAGAAAUAUAACCACCCAAAGUGGUAAAAUUUAUAUGCCUUUCCAUGAUCAAAUUCAUGUAUGAUUGUGGGCAAAGAAUUAAAAACCCGUCCCAUUGAAUUUGCUUCAUUCUCAUUCCCUUAAGAGAAUGUGAUAGCAGUAUGUGAUAAGUCCGAAAGAAGACAAAAUUAUUACUAUGAAUGUAUCAAUGGAUGUGGACAUGGCAAUAGACGAAAUUAUAAUCAUCGUCAUUGCAGUAAUGAGAAUAAUAAGAAUUCUCAAAAUAAUCCUUCACUCUAUGAAAGUAAUGUUUAUCAUCGAUUUGACAUAAAAUUUUGUAAAUCACAUAUAGAUGAUUAUGGUUCAUUCAUGAUGUGAAUGUGACAACAUGUGAUUUAUGAAUACAUAUUCAUUCUUGGAAGAAUAUGAAUGUGGUAGUGAAUAUACCACACUCACCUCUACAAUGAGGUUUGAGGGAAAAUAAGAAAAUAAUGUCAUUAUUAUGGCAUAAAUGGUCAUUGGUCACGUAUUUAUUGUCACCAAAAUAUUUUGGCAUUGUGAUUAUUAAAAGACAACGAUAAUACAAGAAACAGAUCUUGCAUAUAAUUUUGACCAUAACCAUAAUGGUAUAUGUCACGACCCCGGUUCGCCCUCCGUGAACCAUCGUGACGGCACCUAGUCUCUACGAUUAGGUAAGCCUAAAUUGCGGAAGAUAACCAAAACUUGCGGAAGUAAAUAAUUUAAAAACAGAAAUAAGGUAAUAACAGUGUUUAAAUGUGCCGCUCGGCAUACACCAUAUAUAAAUCUCAAAACCAAUAUCCAAAUCUAAGACCCGAAAACCCAUGAAUCACAAGUUAAGAAAAGAAAAUACUACACAGCUCUAACUCCGGAAUUUGUCUAAUAAGAACAGAAAGUACAGAAAGGCAAAAUACUAAAAGGCAGGAAUAGAAAGGGACUCCUUAGUCUACGGAUGCAGAAGAUGUACCUCGAAGUCUCUAAGUAGUCGCCUCCCUCAAGGGUGGUAGGCCUGAGUAGAAGUACUUGGAUCUGCACAUGAAAAACAUGCGCAGAAGAGGCAUGAGUACACCACAGCGGUACUCAGUAAGUGUCAAGCCUAACCUCGGUUGGGUAGUGACGAGGAAGGUCAGGGACCUACUGAGAUUAAAUAAAUAUAAAAAUGACAGGAUAAUAUAAGUAGUACAAUUAAAAAUCUACAGUAAGAAUAUGCAACAAGGAUAAUAAGAAUGUCAAAGAUCAGCUCCAAAGGAGUGAAAUUUGCACAAGUACCAAGACAAGAUAAAGCUUAGGCAAAAUAGGCCCAAUGCGGCCGCACAUCAUUCUGUACGGUCCGCACAAGGGGGUUCAAAGAGGUGGCAUUCAGGCAAAAAGGGCAAUGUGGCCGUACUAGGUUUUGUAUGGUCCGCACUAGGAUCAAUGCGGCCGCACUCGAUUUAAUGCGGUCCGCAGUAAGAAGGAUCAGAGAGUGCCAACUUUCGAGUUUCAAGCCAAUACGGCUCGCGCUCCAUUUCAUGCGGACUGCACUAGAAGCCUUCGCGGGCCGCAGUCCAUUCUCUGCGGUCCGCAAUGCCUGAGUCAGAGAGAUGGGUUUUCAAGUGCAGAGCCUUAGUGCGCCCACACUAGCCCCGCAGGGGUAUUUUGUCCAGAUUUUUAGCUUAGUAUAAAUAGCUUGUUUUCCUAUUUUUAGGGUAUCAGAUAGUUUUUAGUUGUAGUUGCGCUCGUGGGUUCGAAGUCUUUAGCUAUUUUGGGCAAUUUUAUCUACAUUUCAACAUUGAAUCUUAUUGUUUAUUUUAGUAAUUAAUUAAUAUGAGUUGUUCUUCAUUUAUUUCUUGCUUUUCUUCUUCAAUUAUGAGUAGCUAAACCCAUAAGCUAGGGUUGUGGCUCAACCCUAGUGUGGGUAAUUGAUGGGUCUUGUGUUUUAGGGCUAGAUUGAUUAUGGGUAUUUGAUAUUUGGGCUAAUUUCAUGUUUAAUUGUUGAAUUAGUGGUUGCAAAUACUAGUUUGUGUUUAGUUGACUUGAGCUCUUCUUGAGAAAGAGAGCUUGAGUCUCUGAAAUUGGUCUAACAAGGAAUUGGGGCAUACUCAAGAGAUUGAUAGCUCCAAUUAAAGGGUUAAACCUCGAGAGAGUAAUACCCGACUUGAACCUUGAUUGCUUGUGCAAAUUUGCAUACCCAAUUGGUUUUGAGAAAGUCAAUUCGGGCAAAAUCACUCGAACCACCGAGAGGUGUAGAGUGGGUAAAAUCGUGCAACGGUCAUAUCAUACUCCCCAAAUAUGUCAAUCAUGACUUAGACUCAAGUAUCUGUUAAUUGACCACCUAUGCGGAAGUUACUACCCUAGUGCCUUUUAAACCAUUUGAGCAAGCCACAACAUUUUACUCUUAGCUUAUUCUAGUUUAAUUCACCAUUGUAGUUUGAUAAAAGUAGAAGUAAAACAAAAACCCAAAAAUGUUUAGAAGUGUAAUUUGGAACACGUACACAACCCUAAAUUAUAUAGAUAACCGACUCCAACUUCUAGCUCUCUGUGGAAAUUGAUCCCGUCCUUAAAUCGGGUAAAAGCUGCUUCGAUCCUCUCUCGCUACUCAAUAGUAGUGCAGGGUAGGCUUCGAUCAACUUUUUGGCGUUGUUGCCGGGGAGCUAACGGUUUUGGCUAUCUAUUUAGUUAGUUUUGUGUAUUGUUCUUCUUUCCUUCUUUGUUACUAACUUGUUUGUAUCCUAACUCAGGUACCAAAUGAUAGCGAAAAAUGCUAAUGACCCUCUUGGAAAUGUGAUUACGGGGGAGGAGGUAGAUGCUAUCGGAGAUGAUGAGGUAUUUCAUGUACCUCAAGGACAACAUAGAGUCUGCCAGGCCAAUGCGAAUGAUAAUAACAAUAUUCCAGACCCUCCUCCACCACUUCCAAGAGUGGCUCCUAGAGUGCUUCCGAACCAAGGCUAUGCAAGUGUUAUUGUCCCACCCCAAAUCCGGGCUGGCAAUUUUCAAAUAACCAAUGUGAUGUUGACUUUAUUAGAGCAGUGUGGGUACUUUACGGGCGCUGCAAAUCAAAAUGCUUACAAACAUCUCAAGGGGUUCGUGGAUACAUGUUGGGGGAGCAAGAAAACUAAUGUGUCCGAGGAUGCUCUCCGGUUAAGACUCUUCCCAUUAUCACUUAGGGGGAAGGCAUUGGAUUGGCUCGAGACACUUCCCAACCAUUCCAUCACUACUUGGGAUGAGUUGGCGGAUAAGUUCACUGUUAAAUUUUUCUCACCGGGCAUAUGGCGGCAUUGUGAGAUGAGAUAUUGGCCUUCAAGCAAGAGCCCACAGAACCUUUGCAUGAGAUUUGAGAGUGUUAUAGAACAAGGGUGAAAGAAUACCCAACAAUAAUAUGACCGAGACUAUGAUCCAACAAACUUUCUACCGGGGCAUUAACACCACAAACCAAUGCAUAGUAAACCAACUUGACGGGGGCAACUUUAUGAAGUUGUCAUAUGAUGAGGCAUGUGAUAUACUUGACGAGAUGAUUAACACUUCUUUUUCAUGGCAAAGUAGAGCCAAUGUGCCUUAAGGUGACCCCACGGUCACUAAUUUGCACAAGGAAUUACAUGAUCACGGGCAAGCUAUAGCUGAGCUGAUUGGCUAUGAACUAAUUGGCAAAGGCACAGUUGCAACAAGUCCAAAAUCCUCGCCAA
rnacentral:lncRNA from 1 species